UGAAAUUUACCUAUACAAUAUGCACGCAUCAUGUAGCGCUGCUGGUGCUUAAGCCCACGCGUGGGUAAAAUUGCGGAUCAGAGAAUCAUGGUUAGUGUCCAACAAGUUCUUGACUAGCAAUGGUGCAUUCAAGGUUUCACCCCAACAUUGUGUGUGUGUGUGUGUGUGUGUUUUUUUUUUUUUUUUUUUUAAUUUAUUUUUUAUAGAAGCAUAUUCAAGAAAAAGGGCAUCUUGUGGAUUUCUGUUCAUUUCGAUAUAUGUUCAAUUAAAAGAGACAUGAUAUUCUAAACGUCUCACAUUGGAUUGAUGAGAACGAAAUUGUGAUUGAAUACAUAAAAAAUUAUGACCUUAAUAAUAAUGAUAGGCUGAAGUAUUUUGGAUCGAUGGUUUAGACUCAAUAAAUUAUUAUUGAUAGCGGAUCGAAUUGUUAUAGUCUAGCGUCAUAUUAGAUUGAAAAGAAAUUCUAAUUAGAAAUAUAAGAGGCCACACACUAUAGUAAUAAUAACUUGACUUAAAUAUUUUAGGCCAAUGAUUUGACCUCAACGAAUUAUUAUUACAUAGCGGGUCUAGUCAUUACAUUUGGUAUCAGUCGAGUCUCACAUUGUCAGAUAAUUUUGGUCGUGUAUGUGAUUGGGCUAACAAGAACGUCGGAGCCUAAACGGAGGGAGUCUGUGACAUUCCAAUAAUUCCACAUCGGUAAAAACGAAAUUGUGAUAUUAAUCGAGCUUAGGCAUUUAGGCCAAUAAUUUAAAUCCAAUAAAUUAUUAUUGUUAGCGUGUUGAAUCAUUAUAAGAGUGCUCUUCAAUCAAGUAACAAAAAGCUUUAAAAAAAUCCGAAAAUGUAAGUAUCACAUUGGGGUACACCCAAGUAAUGUGAUUUAAUGAUUGAUCUAGUCAAAUUUGAGUAACAAGGUGAGUGUUCAGCUGUGAUUUACAUCUUUUAUCAUUUUCAUCCAUUCAAUUAUACUAUUCAACCAACCACCUAUUCAACCCGCACAUCUUUUAAUCCAUUAACAGAAAACUUAAUUAGCACCAAGUCAUUGGUGCUAUUGAUAGCAUUCCAGCCUAGUCCUCUCUCUCUCUCUCUAUAUAUAUAUAUAGAGAGAGAGAGAGGACUAGGCUGGAAUGCUAUCAAUAGCACCAAGAGCUUGGUGCUAUUAAGUUUUUGGCUUUUGGAUGAAGAAAUGUAACGACAGAAAACUUGAUAGCACAAAAUACUUCGUGCUAUCGAUAACAUCCUAGUUGGACUAAUAUAAAACUAGGCUGGAAUGCUAUUAAUAGCACUAAGAACUUAGUGCUCUUAAGUUUUUAGUCCUUGGAUGAAGAAAUAUGCGAUUAGGAUGAUGUGGGCCUUCUAGGGUCGAGUAAGUUGUUGAUUGAAUAGUAAAAUCUAACGAAUGAAAAUAGUCAAAGAGUUAAAUCUGACGAUGGAAAACUCGAUAACAUCAAGUCCUUGGUGCUAUCGAUAGUAUCCCUGCCGGACUAUAUAUAUAUAUUUUUUAAAUCAACAUAUCAAUGAGUGAAUUUUAGGAGCACAUUUUGAUUGAUUUAGGAUAGGGAUGAUGUAGUCCAACUCUGACAUUUUAGAAUUGUAGUGCUGUUGAUACUUAUCUAAUGCGCCUUUUCUUGUAGGAAACUCCACAUGCCACGUAGAAAUUAAUAGCUGAUUUUGUAUCUAAUAUUCAAUAUUAAAUUUUAGCAUAAUUUUCCAUGAAUUGAAACAUUGAAUCAAGUGUACAUGUAAAGAUGUGCACGCUAGGAAUGGGAAAGCUCGUGUUUGAUUGGUGAAUUACAUGUUAAGUGAUCGAUUGCUUAACGUCUUCUAAGCUAUUUUAAAGGGCUAAUCUCUCAUCGAACACGGCAAAUCAAAAGAUAAUCGCAACAUUUGAACAGCUUGGUAUUAUUUUCCAUCUGCGAGAUCUAUUAUGCAGUGAAAGGUAAUUGAGAAUGACAAGCAAGGUAAAGAAAUGACUUCGCUCAGACAAAGAAAUUAAGUUGUAUAUUAAUUUAUAUUAUCAUUUGCACUUUCGUCAAAGUUACAUUUCAUGAUUCUGAGUUCAUUUUUAUGACAACGUCAAAGUUUUGUAAGUUAAUAUGUUUCGUGGCGAAAUUAGCGUACUGUGGCUUAUUCUAUCUUCUUUGAACUUAAUGAAAACAAGAGAAAGAUUACAUUCCAAGAUUUGCUUCAAUAAACAAUCAUAAAAUUACACAUCAUUCAUAAACAGGAGGGAUGUGGAUAUCAAAAGAUUUGUAUGCAGUUCUUGUUGGAUUUUAUCCAAUAAUAAAUUUUGAUGAUAACAAACAAAUAUUAGAUUUAAUUUGUCAUUUAGCAAUUUCAGGUUAUAGUUGAAUUUAAAGUGGCUCAAGUUGAACCGGAAUUGAUCAAAGGUAACCAUUCAAUCAAAUUAUUCAAAUUGGCCCAGACAAGAUCAAAUUGUACCAAAUUGGAUGCAAGUGCCAUUACAAUAUUUUGAAGGACUUCUUUGCAAUUAUCAGAUUUGAGCCGGUCAACCUAGUCAAGUUGUUCAAUUCACCUUUUGGGUUUAAUUUGUGCUUAAUGUCAAAUUAGCCAUUAUUUUAAUAUGGUAUGAAAGUGAUUUUAUGUAUGGUAUAAAUUCAAACAUGAUUUUAUUAUGAUAUGAAUUUGAAAAUAUGAAAUAUGAUAUAAAUGUAUUUUACAAGUUUGGUAUUAUUUCAAAAGCUUUUACAAAUGUGGAAUGAAUUCAAAAAGUUUUCAUUUGUAGUAUUAAUUUAAAAGAGUUUUGCAAAUGUGGUAUGAAUUCAAAUUUAUUUUGAAAUUAAUUCAAAUACAUUUGCAAAUAUGGUUAAAAUUCAAAUUAAAAUCAAUUAUGAUUUAAUUAUGCUUUUGUUCCAUUUUUGAAAUGAUGGCUAGUGUAUUUAAAAGGAGGCUUGGAUGUUGUUUGCAUAAAACUUCAGAAAAUUCUCUAAGUCCUAAUUGUUCAUUGAUUUGUAAUUGUGAGCUUCUGGAGAGAUUGUAAAAGAAGUUUUGUAUGAUUGUAAGCGGUUUUGGUCUUGCCCUAUUCAAAAGGCUAAGUGAUAGUGAAAUCGGUAUCUCGAGGAGAAGAAGGACCGGACUGGAGUAGGCAGAAGGGCCGAACCAGGAUAAAUCAUCUGUGUUAUCUGAGUUUGAUUUUUUUUUUUUAUUUGGUUGUGCAAUUUUUAUCUGAAUUUAAUUUUACUUGAGUUUUUAGUUGUCAACUAAUUCACCCCCCCUCUUAGUUGCCAUUUAAUCCUUCAUUUCUUUCAUUUAUUAAUUGUUGCGUCUUUUUCUAUUGUUUGAAAAGAGUAUUUAUCUUUGAUCUGCAAAUUACAUUACAAAUUCUCAAGAAGGUAGCAACAAUUCCCUGAAUUUCACCACCACGCGAUUUUCACUUACAUCGACACCAGAAAAGCAUACAGCAGUUGAUCAACUUAGUUAACACCUCAAGUCCGAGUCCGAAAUCUCGGCGCAAAAUAGAAUCACAUCAUAAGCAGAUCAUAUGCUAGGCUUCAAAAGCAAACUUUUAUUCAGUAACAGUAGGCUUACAGAAUCGCAUGCUAUUUUAUAAUUACUGAUGUACAAACAUACAUAUUUCGCUUAUUCAUCCACACGAAAAUCGCAGUUCUGAAUUAUACUGAAGAACAUGUGGAAUUAAUUUCACUGAGCGUUAGCAAGCAGUGCCUCGGCUUGCUCCUCGUACGUAAACCCUUCGCUAAGGGAGUUGUCUGCGGACCAUACGAAGAUCCCGAAAAGAUUCCCCGCGGCCUGAAGAGAUUGACAUGCACUGAGAGCGGUUUGUACUGACACGAACUGCGGAUUGUUAUCGGUAUUAAAACUGGCCAAAAUACUCCCUCCGUUGUAAUUCGCUUGCUGAGCAUUGUAGUAACUCACGUACUGAUCUACUGUUGUGCUCGAGUCGUACCCAUAGAAUUGGAAGUUCACGUAGUCUAUGACGCCGGAAUAGCUUGCCCACAGAGCCUGGUAAUGGCUUUGUAUGUCGGGAUCGUCGUAUGGAGCGAUGGACGCGAAGGAGAUCACUCCGUUGUUCUUCAGGGUCGUGAUCAGUUGCCCAAUACACUCCGUGAAGGUGUCGGGAUCGGCUAGGAAGUUCUCGUAGUCGACGUCGAUGCCGUCGAGGUUGUAUUGCUGGAUCAUGCUGGUUAGCGAGGAGACCGCGUUGCCGACCCAAGAGUCGAUGGAGGAAGGGGUGAAGUUGGCGGGUGGGCCGCCACCGACGCUGUAGCCGCCGAGGCUGACGGCUACUUUUACGUUCGGGUUGCUUUGUUUGAUGGCGGCGACGGCGGAGGGGGUGAGGUUGGUUGUGUCCCAGAAGGGGAUGAACUGGCCGUUGGUCGGCGUGGGGGACGAGCCGGUCGUGUAGUCGAGGGCAAAGGCCAGGAGGAAGUGGAAUUCGACGUCCGGAUUGAUCGGUACAUCGGAGAACUUGACGCCCCGGGACUGCGCCCCGAUGUACUCGCGGAAGAGGUUGGAGUUUCCGGCCGAAGCCAUUGGUGCAAGCAGAGGUAGAAGAGCAAGCAAAAGGGAGAAGAGCUUUGAUGGCAUCGUUUUGUUUGUGGGUUAUAGCGGUAGAUAUAAUAAUUUGGUUUGAGUUUGGUGAGAAAUGAUUAGGGAGAGGGGGGGCCCUUUUAUGGCUUAUUUUGAUUCCUUUUCUCCUUUGAGUUAAUGAAUAUAAGGUGAACGGACCUGCCCAUUGUUGAACUACCCUUGUGGAAUUGGGAGGAGACUAAGUCAAAGAGAAGAUACAUAGGGGCCGUUUGGCCUAAAUUUUAAAAGAGUGAGUUUUAUAUAAUUAAUUUUAGUUUGGAAAGUAAAAUAUAAAUUUCUAGAUAGUCAUGGACUCAGGAGAAGUUUCUUUAGUCGUUUCCAAUUGAAAAUUUCGUCCUAACCUUUUGGCAACACAGGAAGCAAAAGGUGUAAAUGAACUCGCACUGUGAGAGACAGUUAGUUACACAGCGGAACUUAGGCGGGUAAUGCGCAAAACCAACGUCAAUCACGAGACUUUGGAUCAAAUCAACUUCAAGAAAAAUAAAUCCGUUAUUUGGUUUAAGUUAUUCCAAAUCCAAGUUUUUCAAGAAAUAUUUGAAAUCCAAUCGACAUUUUGCUGCAGAGGACGGGAUUCUGUGUGUCCUGGCAAUAAGUUUAUCUUAGAAUAGAUACAUAAGAUACUCACUUUAAAGCUUUACGUCCUGAAUUUGACUCCAGAUUGUAUUAUAUUAGGGUAACUACAGUAGGUUACCCUCAUCAAGGAAGAAUCUCUUUUUAGUCACAUUCAAACUCAGCUAAUGUAGGAUGAGGAAACAAAACAAGCAAGCGCAUUAUGCUCGUAUUAUCGUAAAACAACUGGGUAAAGAGUUGCUGCUGUAGCCAGUAAGAUUUUUGACACAUGUUCACUCUGAGCAAAUUCAGUAAAUUCUUUAUUAGGGAGGAAAAGAAAAAUUGACAUACUGGCAAAAUCAAAAAUUUAAUGAUGGCCAGACUACAUAUGAACAACAAAAUACAUUAAAAAAAAAAAGAGGAGAAGCUACAGCAGUUCUUACUUUGCUUCUUUGCCUGCGCAUGAAGAGUUAUCCACAUCGGCCGAGAAUGCCAGAAGUCAAGAAUAUGUGUUGAAUCUGUAAGAAAAUCCCCCUUUCCACUUAAUGCCUACAUAACUGAAUCGAUUUGUAUAACAUGUCGUGUACUCGCAAGUCUCAUCCUUUGACAACUAUGUGUGCCUUCCAAAAUAUCUAGCAUGCAUGAUUAGGACUUGCUUGUUACCAGUCCAUAUAUCAUUGGAAAUUAAAUUCAAUCUGAAUUGCUUCCGCAACGCUUGUCCGAUCCAUCAGGCACUCUUGAAGGCAUUGUAGCUCUUCAAGACAAAACCUUUGCGCUCUUGAAGACAUUGUAGUUAUCUUUCCAUGAUUUCAAUCACUAUCGAAGAGUUACUGAUUCUUUCAUGGAUCCUAGUUCGCUCGUGUAGGUAUCUAUUACACAAGAGUCUGCUUUAUUGCGGCCCAUCAACAUACCGCCAAUUGUCAAGUUAGAGUCAUCAAACCUUACUAGAGCACGUAACGCCUUGAUCCAUUCCUUCAAACCAACUUGAGCAUCAUUUCUUCUCACCAUCUCUAGAUGCUCGAUAGCACUACUUGGAGCUCCACGCUUAAUUAGGAUGAGCCCUAGUGUCUUAAAUGUUGCAUCAUUUGGCUUUACACCUGAAGCUAACAUCUGCUGAAAGCAUUUUACAGCUUCCUUCAUUCUGCCACCUGACGCAUACAAGCUGAGCAUGCUGUUGUAGCUUAAUAUAUCAGUUAAAAGCCCAAGAACUUGCAUCUCUUGAGAGACCCGAUAAGCAUCACCAACUCUCCCAACCUUCUUGUACAGGCACAUCAUCAUUGCAUAAGAAAAUUCAUUUGCCUUUCUGCUGUUUCUCAAGUUCUCGAAAACUUCCUCUGCUUCUCUAACCAUAGCAUAGUCAUUGUAAAGAUUGAUCAUGCAAUUGGACGAAUACACAUCUGGACUAUCAUCCGAUGAUUUGACUAGCUCGUAUGUUUCUUGGGCUUCUCGCAGAAGUCCUACCUUCGUAUAGAGCUUGAUAAGCGAGUUGCGUAUAAUCAAAUUAACAGCAAAACCAGCUCUCUUCAAUGAAUCAACAUAUUUGACUGCUUGUUGGACAUCACCAACUUCGGCAUAUGCAUCGAUCAAGAUCGAAUAAACAACAAUAUCGGCAGAUAUUCCAAAGCUGGUCAUUUCUUUAAAUAAAUCCUCCACCAUUUGAAGCUCGCCAAGCUUAGCAAAACUGUCCAUCACCACAGAAUACGGAACACAAUCACUUACGAAGCCGGCCUCCUUCAUCCUCCUGACAUAGGAAACUGCUUUUUUAGGCAGCCCAGCAGCUGAUAAAAUCUGUAUGAGAGAAUUAUAAGUGCAGCUAUCUGGAAAAAUACCAUAUUUCUCCAUUUUAUCAAAAAGCUCACGAGACUUAUCAUACUUCUUUCCGAUUCCAUAUGCUUUAAUCAUGACAUUGAAAACAAGAACACUAAGCUUUUGUCUGCCUAAGCAGCAACAGAAAGCAUUCUCUGCUAGAGAGAGGUGCCCAUUCUCUCCAAAAGCAUCAAUAUUAGCCGAGAAGCACUCCGAACUCAUGUUAUCGCAAAACCUCUCAAACCAGGACCAUGACUGUUCAAGCAUCCCAGAACUUAUAUACAUUCUAGUUAAAGCCGAUUGUGUGUACUCAUCAAUCACAAGCCCGUUCUUUUCCAUCUCCUGUAAAAGAGCUUCCGCUUUUCCAACCAUUUUCCUAAUAGAAUAAGCAUAUAAAAGUGUUCGGUAGCUCACAAUAUCAGGUAUAAGACCAUCUUCUUUCAUCCUUAAAAAGUAACUUUCUGCUGUGUCGAUGUCGUCAUUUUUCAGGAAAAGCGAGACGAGAAUGUUAUAAGUUCUUGUAUCGGGAAGGCAACGAAGCUCCUCCAUCAUCAUCAUUAAUGAAUGAACUUCUUCUAACCGACCAUGGCUACCACAUAUGUGAAUCAUCGUGUUGAAUGUCACUACGUCCGGAAAAAUCCCUUCUCUUAACAUCUGGGAAAAUUUCUCGGAAGCCUUUUCGAGCUGUCCUGCUUUUCCAUACGUAUCAAUCAAAGUAUUAUACGUAUACAAGCUAUAAGUUUUCCGCCUUUCAGGACCAUCAGUUGUAUCCAGAGACCACCUCUUGAAGAAAAGCUCCGCCUUUUUAAACUCACCAGCUUUCUUAUAAGCUUGAAGAAUAACGCUCAUCGUCACCUCAUCAGGCUCUACUCCUUUCUUAUACAUAUGACCGAGCCACACUAGAGUUUCAUUAUUCAGACCCCCUUUGCAGCAAGCGUUGAUCAACGUGCCGUACGUGGCAUUCGACGGGAGUAUUCCGUUUGAUUGCAUCUCACUCCAUAGGUCGAAAACAAGAUCCCACUUUUGAGCUCUUCCGAGGAUGGUGAGCAACACAUUGUAGUGGAUCACAUUGAUUUCGUAGCAUCCCUUUCUCUUGAACCAAUCAAAAAUCUCGAUCGCCCUCCUCCAAUCGGACUGCUCCUUGAGGAUUAUGGUCCUCUCCUUAUUGCUGAGGCCACCUUCCCACGGCUUCAGGGCCUCGUCGAGGUCUCGAACAGAUUCCAAUGCUCUCAGCAUAGCAGGAAUGCAUCCACCAUAGGAAGCCCACUUGUUCAAACGCUUAUUUUCGACCUCUCGCUCCGGGACAGUGCAUCUAAUCUUCGAUUCGGCCGAUGCUCGAAUCAAAUUUCGCAGGAAAAUCCGAUUUUGAGCUUUAAAACAACAUCUGGGCUUUGGAAAUGCAAAUUUUGCGGUCCCCGAAAUGAUGAAAUCGGUUGGUUUUGGAGAAAUUAGGCUUCGGAAGCAAUCAGAUGAGCUCAGCAUAUCAAAAAAAUGAGUGUUCUGAAUCAAAUUCUGAGCGAAUUAAUUUCUUCAAUCGAAGCAAAAUGUGUGGUGAGAAGAUAGGGUUUUGCCUUACUAAGAUAAGGGAUUUGGAUUCAGUUUGAACCGAGAAAUCUACAGGUAGAUAAUGGAGAGAAAGAGAGGCUACUUACAAUUUCUCCGCUUCUAUUUUUGCGUCGUCGAAGAACACCAAAAGAUCUUAAACCCCCUCCCGCCCCUUCCCGGAAACCCUUCCCUCCUGUUCCAGUGCUGUCUCGGGCAUUAUCCGGAUGAAAGUUAUUCGUGCACUCGGUGCACCGUACAUCCCAUGCACCGCGAAGAUGUGAGGUACGGUGUAUAAAAUGUACGGAUACACUUGGUACAGCGAAAUUUCGCGAACUCGCGGGUCCCAAAUGCGAGGAAUUCUGCACUGUCGCACUUGCACCACGUCAUCAAUAACAAGCCAAUCACAUUCCUUCCUUUCAAACAAAAAUACAAUAAAAAUACUUUUUUACAAUCAUGAUAGGACAUAUAUUCUUAAAAGCAUUAAUUUGAUUGGUUUGUUACGCCACGUCACUAAUAUACCCGUUGCAUUCUAAAAUUUUUCCCCCAAAUGCGGCCUCCCUUGACGACUUUUUUAUAAAAUAACUCUGUGAAAAUUUAAAAUUUACAAAAUGAUCCUGUCAAAAUUUUAUUUGGAAAAUUAACCCUCCUUUCGCCACGUCCAUGUCGAAAUUUUUUUUAAAGGCGGUGAAUCGUUUCCCUCUUUCUCCCACGUUUUCUUCUAUUUCUUUUAAAGACGGUAAAUCGUUUACCACAUUAAUUAAAAGGGUCAAUUUCAUUCGUGCCCCUCUAAACUUUAAAAAUAUCAUAGAUGCCUCUAUAAAUUUGAUUAUAUCACAAAUACCCCUGCAAAUACUUAUUAUUUUUCAAAUAUACCCUUACCCUUACUAUUCAUCUCUUUAUAAAAUAACAAAAUAUUUAGAUUAUCAUAAAUAUGGUCAAAAUGUCCAUUUUGCCCUUAACUUCUAAAUUUUUUUACCAAAAUAUUUUAGCAUGAUAAUAUUUAUUUUAAAAUAUUAAAAUAAACUGUGUGGUUUGUAAAAUAAGAUACUAAAAUAAAAUACUUCAUAUUAUUUUUUAAAAAAUUUAAGAUGCCAAAGUACAGAAAUUUGUGCUAGUUCAAAUAACUUAGUUCACAUCAUGUAUAUAUAUUUAAGUUAUAUUUUGAAUAAACUGUUUAACCUUAUUUUAAUGAGUUAAUUGAUACUUUAAACAAUGUUUUGCUUAUUCUUUUUUCAAAUUUUUUGAUUUUUUGAUUUUUUUAGCUUAACUUGUCGGGAUUAUAUAUAUAUUUUUUAAUUGAUAAAAACUUAUCGCUAAAUAUAGGUUAUUUAUAAAUUUAAAAGAGUGUUUAUAAAAUUAUAAAUAAUUUUAUAAUCAAUUAAAUACUUUAAGAUGGUAAUGACAAUAGGGGCAAAGUUGGAGUUUUGUUUGUUCUUUAUUCAAAAUUGAUAAUAAAUUAGUGUAAAGGUUAUUUUUGAAAGUUUUUCUCUUUUAAAAGGUUAUUUACGAUAUUUUAAUUUUUAUAGGGACAUUCAUGAUAUUAGACUUAUUUGGAAGGGUAGUGAUGAAAUUUUCCCUAAUUAAAAUUAUGCGUGGAUUAUAUAGGAAAUAGAAAAAAACGAGAUUAUUAGAAUUAUAUAUGGAUCAUUAGAAUUUUUAUUUGAUUAUUAAGAUUGUAUGGAUAGAUAAAAUUAUAUGAAUAAAUUAUUAAGAUUUAAAGGUUGUUAAGAUUAUAUAUAAUUUGUUAAAAUUUUUAUAUGAUUGUUAGGAUUAUAUAUGAGAUAUAAAAAGAACAGUAAAUAAGUGAAAAGCGGUGAACGAUUCACCGCCUUUAAAAGAAAUUCUGACGUGGCGCCAACAUGACGAAAGAAUGAUUAGUUUUCCAAAUAAAAUUUUGAGAGAGAAUUAUUUCAUAAAUUUUAAAAUUUUAGAGGGUUGUUUUAUAAAAAAAUCCUCGUCACAAAUUCUUGUCCAAAAAGAGGUCUACACAGGGCUUAUUCAGAUCAGCAGGUACGCGCGGCUCAAACAAAUCCACACCCGAACCGGCAAUGCUUUCAAUUCGGUUAAUUUCUAGUUCAACCGGCCGAUUCAAAUCGGUCUAACCAGUUUCAAGAUUGUAGGUUCAUUUUUUAUACCACAACAAUAUACAACCGCACGAGACACUAAUAUUGUGAACAAUUGAAAAUUAAUUUAAUGAAACGGUAAAUAUUUUAUAAAUUGAUCAUGAGAACUUUGGCAACAUGCGACCAUGGCAUAGAGACUACUUAUCUUACUGUAGAAUUGCCAGUGUUGAGCCUAUUCAACUUCCCAGGGAAUUUACACCUCUCAAAUUAUUACAAGCAAACAAUGAAACUGGUUUCGAUAAUAAAGUACAAUGAGAAUGAUCGCCACCAAUCGCAAUACAACCAAAAUGGCUUCUAUUUACAGUACUUGUUGAACCAAACACCAAUGUUAAGAAAGCUUUCGAAGUCAGAUUGCGGCCUGCAGCAGAAGAAGAAUAGCGACAGAAUUUAGUGAACGAAGAUUACCAAAAAAGAUCACAUAUAUUGAUCAGCAAAUAGCAACUAACCUUUCGAUGCCGUGGACAUCCUCUGGGAAUACGAUCACUUUGACCUCAACUCCCCUCUCCCUCAGAGCCCUCGCAUACUGAAUCAUGGAAAAUAGAAGUUGAUAAACAAAACCGUUGAUUAAUGAAAUCAUAAGCAGGAGAUCAAACUUGUCUUUUCAACUUGGAAAUUGAUUUACCUAGCUUUGAUAGUUAAUCUUGUUUCUUUGUACGACUACUACGCACAAAGGGCUGAUUCGAUUAAUUGAAAUUUGUAUCCAUACAAGGAGAAAUUAUAUGCUAUUGCCUGAUACUGUACCUGUAGACCAUUAGAAACAGGAACCCGAAGAUCCUGUGCUCCCAGAAGGAAGAGGAUAGGUGCUUUAACCUGCACGCGUAGUAAAGAUUAGCAUGUAAAAGAUUGUCCAGGAAUUUUAUUUCUCAUAUGAUUAAAUGAUACAUCUAGUUCCAUAAAAAAUGAACAAUGAUCACAUGGAUGGCAUAGAGCUUUUACACAUGGCUCCAAAUCGGACUUCAACCCAAAUAACCCCAGUUUGUGCUCCGAUUUCUCAUAGCCAUAAUGGUAAACAAAACCAUACCUUUGAAAUGUGCGAAAUUGGUGACUUCUCGUAGAAAAGACGAAGAUGUUCAGCUGUAGGAGCCUCAGAGAAGUAAUUCUUUCCUUCUUUUCCACAAGUCUCAACAUAACACCAAUCAGGGAUAUCAGUAGUACCAACCAUUAGCGAUAGAUUACAAACUGGAUUUCGAGCAGCUGCGACCACAAACUUAUCUGGAGCCUGCAAUAUAGAUUCACAAACCAAAAUAAGAAAAAUAAGUCCAUGGAAAAUCAGUGAAGCUUAACAUGCAGAUGGAGUAUCUUUCAAACCAAACCUGGCCAACCAAAUGCGUGGUCAAAAAACCUCCAUGUGAACCUCCAAGAACAGCCACUUUAGAUGAAUCAAUGAGUCCUUUCUCGACAGCAUAGUCUAAAGCUGUAAGUACAUCCUGCACAUCCUGUAUACAAGAAAAAGACAAUAGAUGCGCAAAAUAAAGGCAGAUAUUAAUAACUACCUUAGAGCAUGAAAAGAAAGAAAAGGUAAGAACCUGAGAUCCAAUUUUUCCAGGAAGAGACUGCAGUGCUUCCUCUCCAAAACCCAAUGAUCCUCUAAAGGAGUCAUGCAUUAAACAAAACUAUAGUGAGAAGAAUUUGGCUAGCUUUUUAGACCUUUUCCUAGCUUCAGGCUUCUUUUUCGAAUAUAAUCAUGCUAUUCUUUAUGCUUCAAAGAAAUCAAACUUGUUGCACAAUAUACCAACUUUUCCACACAAUCCAGUACUAAUAACGUGUUCAACUUUGAUAAGUUAUUCAUACAACUCGACGUCAAUCAGGAAACAAACUUUGUAAUUUAAUGCUGAAAGCCUGUAAUGGGCCAUAGCAUUUAUGACCCAAAUGCACAGCAAAAGUGGCCAAGCAAGCAGAGUAGAAAUGGUUCGAAGUUAAGUUUUCCCAUAGAAAAAGAUAUUCCAGAUCAAAACAUUGAAUUCUGUAUCCACCAAUAAUACAUGAGCAACUUAUCUAAAUCAAUAAAAAUACAUACAAGUAGAUGCUUACCUAUAAUUUACAAUAAGCAAGUUGUAUCCAAGUGAAGAAAGAAAUGCCGACGAUUUUAAAUAGCUUGUUUCAAAAACUGAAUGUGGGCCACCGUGAAGGAUCACAAUUGUUGGACUACUAGAACUGUCCUUGCAUGAUACAAAAAUAGCCUCAAUUGGAGCCUUAGCACCUGCAUGAUUGUGAAUAUGGAAAUAUAUUACUAGAAGGUUGAUUAGAACUGAAAAAAUUAUAGGACUACAUUAAGCACUUAUCAUCAAAAUCAAUUGGCAUUGUAAUAUGUAAUUGCAUGAUAAAAAAACAGUUGUUAGGAUUAGUUUCAAAGUUGCAUGCUGCACCAUAUGUUUGGCCCAUAUUUAUGAGGCACUUGUAAAAUAAUAAUUUGGUUUACUAUUCCCCCCCCCCAAAAAAAUCUAGGUUUGUAUGUAAAUGAAAGCAUAAAUCUUUCUCUUUAAUAGAGCAACAUAAAUCACAAUGCUGGAUAUGACUUGAGAAUCUAACACGAAAGAUCCUAAGAAUGUAACUCAUUCAAUCCAGUGGGGAGAGAGAGAGAGAGAGAGAUUCGUUUUGUCCCCUUAUGACAAAGGGUCAUGCACAAACAUAUAUACAUCAGUUAGACAAAUAACAGCAUAAACACAUGGACAUGACCUUUCAAAAGCUUCAUGCCCCAAGGAAAACAAUAAAGCACGUAUUAAGUUGUUCCUUUAUAUUACCUUUUGGAAGGUCAGAAGAAGGAUUUCUUACUGGAAUCUUCAGAAUACUGAAUAUGCGCUCCGACAGCACAGAUCGGACCUGUCCAAUAGCAAAAUUUCAGUGAUAUAGUAAAACUGCACAAAAUUUGAAUAGACAUAAUAUGGGGGAAAAAAUGAAUAGUUCUUAACAAUGUUGAGGCAACCUUCUCAGAGUACUUCAAAAAUGGACUUGAAACAUCCAUCCAAGUCCAUGUGUUUUUCUCUGCUUGGGACGAGUGAUACCCAUACUUGAUUUGAGGAGGGUCUAUGGGACUGCUGGACACUUGAAAAUAAAAGAAAAAUCAAAUUUGUUAGGGACUUUUACAAAUAUACCCAGCAAAAUCAUUUAUUUACAUAUGUACAAGUGAUUGAAGGGUGUACAUCAAAGUUCAGAUUUUGCAGGAAUAUAUGUUAAAUUACUCAGAUUUUGCAGGAAAAUUAUAUAGAAUAAUUCCCACACACCCCAAAUGUAAAUAUAUAUGUAAAUGUCUCAUUUUAUAAACCGAAGCUAACUAGACAGCUUUAGAGGAACAGGAUUACCGGCAAGAAUAUUAUCUCCAUCAAGUGCAAGAAUAUUCCAUGAGUAAUUUGAGUCCUCUGGACUGACUCUUGAAACUUUGCAACUGUAGAAGAAAUAACAUAUUACUAAUUUAAAUAGAACCACUGAACACCUGACUGAGAGAGGUACAAGAGCAACUGUUGUUUACCUUGAAACAUUUACAGAUAGUAUUACUUGGGUACUUCUCCAAGCAGAAGAUAGAACCAUUGUGCAUCCAUCAGAAAGCCAAGGAUCAGAGAGGAAGCCUGAACAGUAAAGUCCAGGAAAGCAACCAUCCUCGGGAGACAUCACAACCGGAACCUGAAUUCAUUAGGCAUCAACUAUUGCACAGGAUUUAUCAAGAAAAUUAAGAACUCGAGAUGUUGGAUAUGAUAAUGUUGGGCAUUUCUACAUGCAUCUCUGCAAAAUACCUAUUUAAACAUGUUACCCAGUAAAAUCAGAGUUUUCAGAUAUCUUCCCCGAAAGUGCAGUUUCUUACAGAUAUACCCCUAUUUUUAGUUGGUGGGUCAUCCAAUUUAUGUGGGCAAGUUGAUUUUCUAAUUGCAAGGAAGUUUUUAAAGAGGGCAUUUUUGCAAGUGUAAGGUAUGUGGCAUAUGGAAAAAAAUUUAAGUUUUCCAAUGCAAUGUAAUGAUUCAGGUAUUACAGCAAGAGUAAUAUAUUUGUACAUAGAUAAUGUUGUUAGGGUAGAUUUGUUAAUUUCUCUAGUGUUUGAGUUGUCCAGCGAAACCAAAAUUGUCAAGACGUCUAAAUCAUAUGGGGCAGUAACUGAGUUUUUAAAAGGAACCGUAAGCAUACCACAUCAGUAAUAUUCAUGUUCUGCUGUAGCUUCCCAUCAGUAGGCCAAUCGAUCUUAUGCAGCGAAUUAGUAGCUAAAUGCGCCCCACUAUCCACAGCACUUUUGGCAGAUAGGAAUACAAGAUAUUUUCCAUCUGGACUGUCAGAUGAUCAAUCAAAUCAUUUAGUUAAAGGCGAAGUAUAUAAUAUAGGUCAAAAUGUUAUCUUGUUACACUCUAAGUUUCCUAGCCCACUAGUCCUCUCGACUUUGGAAUCCACAAGACCAUCAAAAUUUCAAGGCUUAGAGAUAUGAACUCGAGAAUAUUCAAUCAUCAACAACUCACCACGAAGUUUCUACUGAGAGUACAGAUGAAUUCAAGUAGUUAAAAAAAAGGGAGUAAUGUAUAUUACCUAAAUACUGGAAAGAAAGCGCUACUUAAGCCAUGAGUCAACUUGACUGCAGCUGCAGAGUUGUCUAUUGUAUCACCACUGCACCAUUAUAAGAAAUCAAAGAUAUAAAAAUGGUAAAAGAUAAUGAAAAGAGGUUAAACAAAAUCUGUACAUAGAUAAAGUAAAUCAUAAGUAACAGAUCAAUAAAGCUGUCAACUACUAAUGAUAUCAUGAGAAUAGUUUUCAAGACCAACAUUAUACUCACCUUAAUGAUACUUUAUCAGUAUCUGAUUUUUUAAAAGGGUUGCAGACUGCAAAUAGGGAACAUGGCCUAUUGUAACAAUAUUUAAUUCCAAGUUUUCUUGGCGUAUUUUGGAAACCAUUCUCGGAGGACCAGCCAACAAAAACCAAGUAAUUAAGGCAUCCAUUUGAAGAUGAUGGAGCCCAAAUGACUUGUCCAACACUUAUUGAUCUUGAAACGCCUUCAGCAACUCGUACCUCCCCACUGUAGGCACAUGAAAGAGUGAAAGCUUUAAGUUUUAGCACUCAUCAGACGGCUUAUUAAAUAAUUUUUACACAUAAACAGAGGACAAGGCAAAGACACCUAGCAGUAUCGACAACAAACAAUGAAGGCUUCCUUUUUUUGGAGUAGGUUUCGCCCCAGUCCUCUUCCCAAUCCCCUCGACCUUUCCAGCUACCGCAGUCCUUCUCAGAAGAACCUUCCUUCUUGUAUCCUCCAUUUUCGAAAACAGGCGUUGGUUGAGGUGGCUCCUCAGCAACAUAUGCUAUUAGAGUUUCGUCAUGGUUCCAUGAAAUUCCCUCAAACCUAUAGAAAAGAUAGAAAAGAGUAGAAGACACAACGUAAUGCCUUAGGCAAAUAAAGUAUGUGGUAACUAGUAACUAGUAGAACAAUGAAGCGCAUUAUUCCCUUAAAGAUCUAUGCACAGGGAUUUACCAUCCAUCUACAUAUAAUGAUCCAUGGAUAGAUUGUGGAAUAUGUAUUUCCCUCUCUAAGUAAGACGGCCCCCAUAUUUCAAGCUUGGUAGGGGCAUCGUUCUCAGCAUUCCGCACAACUAGAAGCUUUGUGCCUGACGGCGACGGAACUACUGCAGAUGUUCCAGUCAUUUCAAUAGGAAAGGGAGACCACUCGAAGUCUACAGAAUCUUUACUAGGUUUCGAAAUAUGAGAAGACAGAACAAACUUCUUCCUUUUAUUAGCAAAGAGGUUCGAUUGGCUAAUAGAAAACAUCGCCCUGGAAUUAUUUGCUGCAAUCAAACAUUCGAACGGGUGAAAUAGCUGAAUUAGAUGUACAAGGACAUGGAUGAGCUAGAAGAAUGAAGGAUCAUAAGAUCUCGAAACAAUAACACAGUAGUAAUAGCAAAGGUCAAAUUUUGAUACCUUUGUCAGACGUAAAAACCCACGCCUUGUCGAUACUGGGCAUAUUAGUAAAUUCUUGCAGCAAUUUCGAUUGAGAGGCGUACUCUUCAGACGUCGCUUCAUCGAUUGCAACAGGCUUUUCUUUCUCUAACACAGAUUCAGAGGCUUGCAUACCUGCUGAGAGGGAUGAUAUCCAGCGAAUGCUAAGGAAUGAGAAAAAACAACUCUGUGUAAGGAGAAGCUUAGCUCGAAAAGGAGAUCCAAAUCAUUAACUAAGGAAGAAAGGAAACCUUUUGGGCUAUUAUUUUACUAAUAUCAGUUGUUCCUUUUGCUUAUUUUGUUCAUCUGGGACAAAGUUGGACACCUAAUUAUGUUGUCAUCUUCCUCUUUAGUCCACUUAAAGAUUAUAUUUUGACUGGUUGCAUGAACCUAAACUAUGCAUGAACCUUAACUUUUUGACAACAAUAACACCCAAAGAGAGUUGAUUAAGUCAAACAAACCACAGAAAAGAGGAAGGAACUACAAUACACAACUAGAGUUACUAAAAUUACAACUACUACAUAGAUAAAUGCACCAAAAAAAUACAAAAAAUAAACACAAAAAAACACUCCAAAUCUCUAAAUUUUUGAUACAAAAACAAAUAGCGAUACCAGGGAACUAAUUAAUUCGACAUGGAUUGAGAAGGUGAGAAGGGGAAAGAAGAGUGAGAUCAUCUUACCUGCGUGAGUGGAGUAAUCUAAUGAGAGGAGGAGACGAAGCGAUUGAGAAUAAGGGACGAGGGAAUGCGUGAGGGAGAGGGAGGCCGCACAGAACCGAAGAAGCGGUCGCAUAAGCCAUGGCUCUGCUUCCAAUCUCGAGUAUAUACGGCAUUUGGAGCGUGAUUGGUGCGUCCCCACAGACGCAGAUAGGGCUUAUAAUGGGCCGUAUCUAGGCCUAAGGCAUAAUUGUGGCCCAGUUAAUCUAAAUAGUAGGCCGGGCCCUAUUUGUUAUUAGGGGAAUUUGCAAAUAUUUCAAAAAGAUGUUUUCUAAGGCAAACGAAACGAUCGCUUUCAAAAAGAAAAUUUCAAAUUCAAACUGAAAACGAAAAUUUCAAUUUUGAUAGUCUCAAUUAACAGAGAAGGAUAAAUUUCUAAACUUUCAGAAUUUGAAGGGUAGAUACAUAACUUACAAUACUUUGUAGGUUUAAAUAGAACGCAAUGUUUAUUGCACCAUAUCGAAUGCUAUCAAGAUCAAUACAAAGAAGCAUGUUUAUUGCACCAUAUCAAAUGCUAUCAAGAUCAAUACAAAGAAGCACUUUAAAUUAGCUUCCAUAUAUAAUUUUGAAACAAAUAUUACAGAGAAGUUUCUAAAUGAACUCAAUAGGGUUACAUGGAUCAAAAGGGGGGAAAAAUUUCCAUCCAAGGAUUAGCAUUUUGCGUGUCUAAGCUACCAAAAAUCAUUACAAGAACAGCGCCCGUCUCGAAAAUGGUGGAACCGACUCCGAUCUCUGACCACAAUCUCCCGGUUCCAAAUUUUGGAUAUCAACUUGAUUGCGGAGUGGCAAUCUUCGCAUACCCUCAAGUUCUUGAUGACGUGAAUAGGCAAAUUAGGCGGUAAGCUGAUGAGCCCGUAAGCAAUAGCCAUCUUCUCACUGUGAGCAAACAAUGCCUGCUCCUUUUCCUCGUCAUCUAAAUCCACUGAGAUUUGUUGAAUUAUCGGCAAGUAUCCCGCUAGCUUCAAUCUCUUAGCAAUCUCAUUCAACAUCUUUUGAACUUCGGUAAUUUGUAGGUGUGAUUGAUCGCCAGCAACAAAUUUAUGUACUUGGCCUGCCACUGUAAUGGAACUAUAACCUGCAGUUUUUCUCACACCUCUCUCUUCCAUUAAUUUCCGUAUCUUAGAAGCAUCAGCCCACCUUCUCGAAUCUACAUAUAUAUUAUACAACUGUACAUAUACCGCAUCUUCAUUAGGCUCCAGCUUAAGGAGGUUUUCUGCAGCCUUCUCAGCUAGUUCCAUAUCCUUGUACACUCUACAGGCACUUAACAUGGAGGCCCAUAUUACCGCAUUAGGUUCUACCGGCAUGGUUUCUAUUAGACCAAUUGCCUCUUUCAAAUGCCCACUGCGACCGAGUAAGUCUAUUAUACACCCAUAAUGCUCGAUCUCAGGCUCCAAUUUAUACAAAGAUCUCAUCUCUUCAAAAUACGACCGACCCUCCUUUAAUAAGCCAGAAUGGCUGCACGCAGUCAAAACACUAAGGUAGGCAACCGAAUUGGGUCUGAUCCCCUCUUUCUUCAUCAAAUCAAAAUACUCCAAUGCAAGUUUUCCCAUUCCAUUCAGUGCGAGGCCUGCAAUGGUCGCACCCCAAGUUCGCACAUCCCUUUCCUCCAUCCUUUGAAAAACAAGCAUUGCUUGUUCUGUGUUCCCGCACUUCAUAUACAUGUCUACCAAUGCGGUGCCAAGAUAAACAUCCCACUGCACUAACUUCUCCUCAAUGCAAGCAUGUAAAGCCUUGCCUUGAUCUAAUGCACCCAAGCUUGCACAAGCGGUGAGCAAGCCUACUAUCGUGAAAUUAUCAGGCCGUAAACCAGAUUCGCGCAGCUUAGCGAACAAGAGCAGCGCAUCCUUAAGCCUACCAGUAUGAAUAUACCCAGUGAUCAUCGAGUUGAAUGAGAUGACAUCGCAAACGCCCAUUUGAUCAAAGAGAGAUCGAGCUCUAUCUAUGUCACCGAUUUUGCAGUAUCCAUCAAUCAUGGCAUUCCAAGCCUGAAGAACCUUGCGGCCCAUUGAAUCAAAGCAUUCUUGAGCACAGUUGACAUCCCCACAUUUUGAGUACAUGUCGAUAAGAGCGACUACAAGAUUGUUAUUGAUAAUGAUACCUUCCUUUUGGAUAAAAGAGUGAAUCCAUUUUCCUAAUUCUAAAUCCUUCAACUGAGCACACGCCGAUAGCACCACGACGACUGUAACAGUAUCUGCUUUUACAUUAUCAGACAACAUCUUCGUAAAAAGCUCAAUAGCUUCUUCAGCCCUAUCGGCCUGAGCAUAGCCCGCAAUCAAGCUGGUCCACGAAACCACAUUUCUCACUGGAGUUUCAUCGAACAACUUGCGGGCAUCGUUCAAAAACCCCAAUUUGGCCAUUCCACUGAUCAUCGUCGUCCACGAGACCACAUCUCUUCUACUAAUCCUCUGAAAAGCUCUUCUCGCAUCACCAACCCGCCCCAAUUCCAUAUACAUGUGGAUCAAAGAGCUCACCGCAUAAGCAUCGGACUCCGGAAACAGCUUAACGAACAAACCGUGCACCAUACGCCCUUCAAAAGCCGACGAAGAGACACCGCACGAUUUGAAUAAGAAUUGAAACGUAUACGAAUCAGGGGCUAUACCUCUUCGAUGCAUUUGGUCGUACAAGCGAAUGGAUUCUCUGGGAGCGCCAUUGCGAGAGCACGCGCGAAUGACGGUGUUCCAUAGAAAGGUGCAAGGGGAGGGGAUUUGGGCGAAUAAUUGUAGGGCGUAGGAAAGAUUGGGUGGUUGUAGGGAGUCGACGAUGGAUUUGAAGAGAUGGGUUGUUGCGGGAGGGGAGAGGAGAGAGCCCGAGACCACCAUUAGCGCGUGCAGUUGUGUGGAUUGCUUGAGAGAGGAGGGGGUUAGCCAUGGGAGGAGCUUGGAGAGCGUGGGAGAGGAGAGCAUUCAACGGGGUGAAGAGCUGUUUCGCUUCUCUUCGAAAUCGAUACCUCGAUCUGGGGAAGGACAUAGAAACACUUCGCAAGCUAAAGUCGGUGACGUAGAACCACAAAUUGGCGGAUUCGACUCAAGUCGGUACCGAAACACUAAAACCGCCGGUUUCACAUGAUCCCGGUACCGCGGAACUUAACCAUGGAAUGCAUCUUUGACGUGUACGUAGACAAGCUCUUCAUUAAUUAUGUUUUAUAAUGUAUCUUGUCCAAUUCAAGGUUAAUCUGAGUUAUUCAACUAUUUCGUAUGAUCCUCUAUUUACACUUGAUUAGUCAAUUAGUUGUGCUAAGCGCCUUCAAUUGUAAUAAGAAUUGCGCUCUUUGGUUCAUUUAUAAAUUAUAAGAAUAUUCUUAAAUGGUCUUCAAAGAACUCUACCCUUUUUCGCCCGCAACAAUGCUGGAGAACAACUUUAGUCAGUAUAUAGCUACAUUGCUCAUAUGAGAUGAUCUGUAUUGUGCAAUAAUAACAGUGUUCCAUGUGAAGGAUUGAACAACUAGUUGACACCAAGCCCCGCAGAUAGUAUACAUAUUAUUUUUUUUGAUUAAACAAGGGUAUAUCCUAUUUUAACAAAGUCAGAACAGAGUGUACAGGAGCAGUCUAGUAAAGCGAAAAAACAGAACGGCAAGAACAGCAUGGGUUGAUCGCAAUCAAGAUCUAGGAGCAGGAACCCAGAAACAAAAAAACCAAAAACCAAAAUCAAAAACAAAAAAAAAAGCCCCAAAAAACGCACACUCCUAGAUGUUGUCCGUGUCCCCGCUUUCCAUGGGUCUAGUAUACAUAUUAUUUUUCACUAACAAUUAAUUAAGGUAAUGCGGCCUUCAAGGAGCUUACAAAGGUCUCCACAUUCUUUAGUAUCUCAUUAGAGGAUUUGCCUUCACCGAUAAGGCGCACGAUGGCACUGCCCACGAUUACACCAUCAGCUCCCCAACUUGCCACCUUCAAUAUAACCUUAGUUUAUACAUUGAGUAAAAAAAAUUCUAACGCGCAGCUGAUUAAUACGUUCUGUGAAUUUAAAUGACCAACCUUUUUGACGUGCUCCGGAUUGGAUAUGCCAAAGCCAACGGCAACAGGAUUUGCUGUAAUCUGCAGGAAAUGGAAAUAAGUAAUACAUGCAUCAUAAUCAUCAGUCGUACAGAUAUCUUUUUUAUCUUUUUUUUUGGUGUUUUUUUUUUAAAAAUUAAUCUUUCACAACUCUUCCAUUAAGGAAACAUACAUACCCCUUUUAUUUCCUUUAGAAGAAGCUCUACUUGUGGAUUUACAGUUGCGCGAUCACCCGUUACUCCGACAGAGCUCACCUAUUUUAAGCAAAUCAAGAUUAGUUGCAUAGUGUAACACUAUAACAAAUUCUGAAGAGAACAAAGUUAUAUUAAAAAACUUACAAGAUACACGAAACCUUGGGAAGCAUCAACAAUGGCUUCCAUUUGACGCCUCGGAGUGACAGGUGUAGUAAGUAGUACCUACAAUGCGAAAAAGGAAUUACUCCUCAGUUUCAGCAUAGGAAAUAGUCAAAUACUAUCUUAAAUUUAUUGUUUCUGAUUUUAUUCUUACAGUUCAGAAAAGGAAAACAUAUUAAUCUAAAGCAUACCAGUUGGACUUCAUUUUCUGCGGCAGCUUGUUUCAACCUUGCAUUGUCAUCAAAGGAAAGAUCUGGGACCAAAAGGCCUGCAAAUAGUUGCAUCUUAUUUGCCGAAUUUGCGAGCAUAAACUUGGAGAGCAGCAAAUACUAAUUUAGAGAUUGUUGACUCUUAAUAGCUGGAAACGUUUUAGCCAUAAGACAUGCUUCUGAUAACUUAAAAUUCGUGGAAAAAAAAAAUUCUGAUCUUAGGCACAUGAAUACAAAUGCAUCUUAUUUGCGGAGUUUGUUAUUAAACUAAACACUCAAAAGAGUGUAAUCAAUGCUAAGGGAAAACUUCUCAGUAUGGAAGGAUCGGACGCAACCGACGACAUCACGGGCGACGUCCGACGUCUUUGGGCCGGAACUACUGAAAUCCCAGUGGACUCGUUGAGAACACAAGGCUUGACCCUCCUAGCUGAGAUCUAGUGGGUGGUUUGGACGGAUAGAAAUAACUCUGUUUUUCGAGAAAAGUCCGCCAGCGCUAUCCGGUCCCUAGAACGUGUUAAACUACUGGUCAGCAAUUGGACCACUAUGCUCUGACAUCCCACUUGUACAUCUUUCCCUCUUUCUUCUCUUACUUUACCUCUUCUUUUUGCCUUUUAUUUUGUACCUUUUAGACGGUUCCUCGGAGGCCUAAGCUGCUCCAACUUGCAUGCUCAGUUCAUUUAACUUAAUGAAUAAAGCAGGUAGCUUACUAUCUAUUUCUCAAAAAAAAAAAAAAAAAAAAAAAACUAAGGGAAAAGAAAAUUACCAUGUAUACCAGCAUCUUUUAUGGCAGAAAGAGAACUUUCAAUGCCAUAUUCAAAUACAGGAGUAUGAUAUGAAAAUAGCACUAUUGGACAAGAUAAAUGAGGAACCACCUGCAACGGUGUGACAAUUACGAAGAUAAAAUUAUUGAAGUUUCAUAUACUUUGAAGAGAAAUAUAUGAGUUAUGUAAAACUGUUUUUCACGACUUUAAUUAUUUUCCAAAUCUUUACCUCCUUUAGCAUGGAAAGAAUUGCGUCCAGUGUGAUUCCAUUCGAAAGAGCUUUAUUGUAAAAGUUACAUGAAAAAUACUUUACUAUCAAAAAUUUCGACUAUCUAAUUUUUUUGUGUGUCGGAUAUAUAAAUUAUUAUAUUUAAAAAAAAAAAAAAAAGAAUAGUGCACUCAAAUAGAAAAUAUAAGUGUUACACGAAUUUCUUCUCUCAUUUUAUAAAAUUACUAGGAUUUUUCUGGAAGUAUGUGAGUUUUAGUGCAUGUACGAUAUAGAUUACAAAAUAAGUGGUUAAAAAUUGUUUUUCUUUUCUUUGAAGCUGAAGCAAGAUAUUAAAGAUUUGUCGUAAGGGAACGAAAUUAAAAAAUAAAAGAUCAAAAAAAGAGACCUUGAUCACAGGACCAUCUAAUGGGGCAUCAAAGAAGGGGACACCCAAUUCAAUCACAUCGGCGCCACAGCGAUCGAGAAGCUGCAAAAUUUUUGAAGUCGUGGCCAAAUCCGGAUCUCCAGCAGUUACAUAAGGUAUCAAAGCAGCCUAAAAUUAUAAAUUUGGCAAUGAUUAUUACUCAAUAAUAAUGUCAAAAUGAAUAAAACAGUGUAUAACUUGGUUCAAAAAUCUAAGGCCCGAGGCUUUAAAAGUAACAGCAAAAGAAAAAUAAUGUUAAAAAAAUUAUAAAUUUGGAUCCUAGAUGCUCGAAAUAGAUUAAUUUGUGUUUAAUAGCGGUAACCAUUAAUUUAUUCAUAUUUCAUCGUCAAAGCAAAAUAAAAUUAUAAAGACCUCUAUACUUUCAAAAGCACUCAACUCAACUCAAAUUAAUUCAGUUAGAUUAUUAUACAUGCAGAAAAUCUCUUUUUUAGUUGAAAAAAAAGUAUUUUUCGGAUCCUCGUAAAACAGCUCGGAAAAGUAUUUUUCGGUUGAAAAAUUAAUUUCCCAUUGUUUGGUUGUCUGUAAAAAAUUUGUUUAGAAAAUUUAUUUUACAAAUUUUCAAAAAACGAGCCCUUUUCGUUUUCCACUAGCGUCAGGCGGAAAACGAAAACCUCCCGCGUUGAAAAUUGCGGCGCACGAGUUAUUAGCACACGUCCACGAGGUGAACUUUCCCUCGUGGACGCGUGAGAGAGAGCCCACGAGGGACCGGACCCGUGGACUCUUCUCUCAUUCAUUAUGUGUGUGUUAAUAUAUAUAUAUAUAUAUAUAUAUAUAUAAUAUAUAUAUAUAUAUAUAUAUAUUAAUAUAUAUAUAUAUAUAUAAUAUUUUAUUUUUAUAUAAAUAUAUUACUAUAUAAUAUUAUAUUCUAAUAUUAUUUAUAAAUAUAUAGUGAAUUUUUUAUAGUACUAAAUAUAAUAUACUAUUAUGUAUUAUAUAUACUUAUUGUAUUAUAUAUUCUAAAUUUAUUUACUUAUAAAAACCUAUAAUAAUAAUAUAUAUAGUAUAAUAAUUAUUGUAUAUCAAUAAUAUAUAAUAUAUUAUAAUAAUAAAGGAAUAUAUAAUAGUUUCUAUGUGCUUUUCAAUCCUUUUUCGAUCAUUAUAUAUUAUAUAUAUAUAUAUAUAUAUAAUAUAAAUAUAUAUAUAUAUAUAUAUAUAUAUAUAUAUAUAUAUAUAUAUAUAUAUAUAUUAGUUAUAAAUAUAUAUUAUUUUUUAUAUAUCAUUUAUUUUUAUAUAGAAAUAUUAUUAUAUAAUAUUUUAUUUCUAAAUUUGUAAUUAUUUAUUAAUAUUUUUAAAUAUAUAACUCUUAUAUAUUAUGUAAUAUAUUUAUUAUAAUUUUAAAUAUAUUUAAUCUAUAUAUAAAAAUUAUAAUAAUAAUAUAUAGUAUAUUAAUUAUUAUAUAAUAAUAAUAUAUAUAAUAAAAAAUAUAUUAAACCGGUUUUUAUCUAUUUUUCUUUCCCUUUCAACCAAACAACCAUUAUAGAAAACCAUUUUUCUCUUUCUACAAACCAAACACUAAACUACGUAAAAAAAAUUUUCCACCGAAAAUUUGUUUCCACCGAAAUUUUUUUUUUCCAAUUUUACGUCGAACCAAACAGCCCCUAAGAGCAUGUUUGGUUGGUUGUAAAAGUAGCUUGAAAACACUUUUCAGCUUGAAAAAAAAAUUUUCCAUCUGUUUGAUUUGAUGUAAUUUUUUUUUUUUCUGUAAAAUAAUUUUACAGAUUCUGGCAAAAUACGCGGCGUACGAGUGCAGCCGUGGAAUUUUCACGGGGUCCACGAGUGAGCAUGCUCACUCGUGGACCGCGUGAGUUGCCAAACGCAAGGAGCCUACACCGCUCCUUGUUAUAUAAUACAUGUGUAUAAUUUAAUAAAAUACUAAAUAUACAUUAUAUAUUCUAAUAUAAUAACAGUAAAAUUUAUUGCAUAAAAAUUAAAUAUAUUUCUUAGUGACAUAUUAUUUUAUUUAUAAUAAAUUAUAAUGUUGUAAUAAUGUGUAAAUUUAAAUAAAUAUCAAAUUAUAUACAUCUAAUUUUUUAAAUAACUAAAUAAUAAGAGAAAAAUAUAAAAUACGUUUUUUAUUUAAUUUUUCUACAAACCAAAUAAGUAAGUCCGAAAAUUGUUUUUCUUUUCCUACAAACCAAAUACUAAAUAACGUAAAAUUUUUUUUCCACUAAAAAUUUUUUUUUACUGAAAAUUUUUUUUCGCAGUUUUACGUCAAACCAAACGGCCCCUAAAGUGGGGAGACAAAUUAAGCAUGCUUACUUUUCCUUGCUUUUUAAGCUCGGAGAAAGUCUCCGAAAUACCCCGCGAAUGAAACUUUGAAUCAAAGCCUGUGCUCUGAGCCAAUAUUGUUGGUUUUAAGGCCAAGUGAGGAAGAGAUUUGGUGUAGUAUUUUGCAUGGGAAAGGGAGAAGGAGCUUAAAGCCAUGGAUAAUAAUCUAGUACAAAUAAUUCUACGUACGAAGAUCCGAAAUUAAAACCGAGGCUCCAUCUCCCACCUCUUAGCCCGUGCCAAUUUAUAGAAGCCUUGCAUAAAAAGAUACUGAUGUCACACUGGAGAAGGACAUGCCCUUGCAGUCCGAGGACACCUUGUGCACAUGAUAAACAUGUUGCGCAAAUGCGACUGAGUUAUCAACCUCAGCUGGUCCUGCUGAUUAGCACCUAAUGAUGGUGCCACCACAUGAAAAGACCAGGCAAAAAUAACGUGGCGCUAAAUUUUGUUGCUAUCAUAUAGUUACUUAUUGUGGUGAUAAAAAAAUAGCCACCGAUUAGUUAACUAAAAGUGGCGACUAAUUUCGCUACUAAAUGAUUAUUUUAUUGCCAUUUUUUGGUUAUCUAGUAGCGAUAAGAAAUUAAAAUGGCCACUUAUUAAUUAACUUAAAGUGACGAUGCCAUUAAAUGAUUAUUUUACUGUCACUAAAUGGUUAUUUGUAAUAAUGAUAAAAAAAUAUUGCCACUAAUUAAUUAACUUAAAGUGAUAAUAUUAUUUUUGCCACUAAAUAACUAUUUUAUCGCCAUUAUUUGAUUACUUACAGUGGCGAUAAAAAAAAAUUACCAUCAAUUAAUUAACUUUAAGUGACAUGCAAUACUCCUUUCGCCACUAAAUAACUAUGUUUUGGCCACUUUUUGGUUAUAUAUAGUGGCGAUAAAAAAUUACCACCUAUUUUUCGAUUGCUUUUGCACGAUUUUAUUUGAUUGAAGUCGAUUUUAGCAGAUGAUUUAUUGUGAAUUAGGCUUUAAGCAUAUAAUUUGUUGUUCCCUGAAGAGAUAAUUGUUGUUCUGUGAGCUAAUUGUUUUGGGAUAAGCAUCAGUAAGCAUGUAACUAUGGUGCAAGUUCGAAUCGAAUUUAAGAUUCCUCAUUUAACUUCUAUGCGUAUUUCUAAUUUAUUAUCAAUUUGUACUUUCGCACUUCAAAAACCCCCUAAGUGAUUUCGCACUUUCUCAUUUUAGUACAUUGUGGUUUAAAGUGUAUCAAUUUGCCCCAUGUGAUUUCAUUUUUCUCUUUUUAUUAUUAAUUUUAUUAUUAUAUUUUUCUUAAAUCAGUGAUAAAGUUAAAAUUAAAAGGUACUAAAGUAAAUAUUCGAUAAAUCUAUGUAGGUAUCUGAAGUUUUUUGUAUAUAAUUUAACGAAAUAUUGAAAAAAAACUGCCGAAAAGAUAAAAACAAAACCACAUGAGAGUUUUCUCACACAAAAAAAAAAAAAAAAAAAAAAAACCUACAGGGGAGCAAAUUGAUACAUUUUAAACCAUAUGGUACUAAAGUGAGAAAGUAUGAAACCACAGGGAGGUUUUGAAGUUUUCCCUAAAAUUUGCUUUGAAUAUAUUAAACCUAAAAGGAAUGUAAGUCUCAUCUUUACUAGUCUCAGGUACAUAGUCUCAUCUUUAUUAACUAUAUUUACGUACCAUACAUCAAACAAAAAUUUUAGCAAAAUGCUAAUUAUUUUUUUUAGAAAAAAAUAGCACGCUACCUGUUUCAUUUAUUAGAAAGAUGAACUUGACUAUAAAGAUGAUGAGGCACUCAGGGCCUCAAGAAAAUCGCGUCAGUCAACUUAAAAAAAAAGAAAAAAAGAAAAAAAAAGAAGACGUUACUUGAAUCUAGUACGGUAGGAGGAGUUCCCAAUAUUUUAACAACUGUGUAAACUUGUGGACAACCUGCACCGGAUCUAACUAGAUAUUUUUAAAGAUCAAGUCGUUCCUAACCAUCCUGCAAAAUGCUAAUUGUUGCUACGGUGAUUGAUUGAUAUAACCAAUAAAACGUCGUUCAAUAGUUUUUUUCUUUUUAGAGGUAAACGUCGUUCAAUAGUUACAUGCAUGUAUCACAUGUUUGAAAUUAGAGUGUUGCUAUUUACAUGUAUCAACGUAUUUGAAAAUAGAGUGUUGUUACUGGCCGUCUCUAGCGAAAGUGACAUAAGAGCUUGAUAGUUGGUAUUCAAGACCCAAGUUUGAAUUCUAAUUGAUUCAUAAUUCUAACUAAGUUUAUUUCUAAUUGAAAUAAACAAAACAAAUAACAUACUACCUUUCUCUCAAAAAAAAAAAAUAUAUAUAGAGUGUUGUUAUUUGUGCACCUCAAAUAAAGGUGUAUACCCUGCACUGUUUCAUUUAAAAGUUAAAAAUUAUUUUUUAUCUUGUCAGUUUUUUAUAAUAUUUAUUUAAAAAAAAAAAACUCUAGAACAAGCCAAUAUAAAAUCUACACUUGAAGAGAUUGCUCACCUAUAUUGUACACUUUUCCUAUUUGCUUGGGGGAAGAUAAAGUCAAAAAAAAAAAAAUCCUAAAUUGCAUUAAUAAUUCUCAAACUAAGCGAUAUUUUAGUUUUCAAACUACAAAACAAAAUUCCCAGUUAUUAUUGUAUAUUACAAAAACUGUGAUUGAUAAAACUACAACUAUUAAAACACCACGUCAUCGCCACAUAAGCAUUAAUAAAUUAUCAUUCAAUAAAUUUAAUUAGAUUAUAUAAUCUUGUUGUAAUAUUUUAUAAAAUUUAAAUAAAAAUUUUGAAAAAUAAAAAAUUGAGAAUUUAAAUAUCAUCUGCAUCGUAAUUUAAGAACUAUCGGUACAAUUUAACUAAAAAAUGAUAAUAUAGCUUUUAAUCUUUAGAACAUUAUUAUACUUAUAAAUUAUCAGUACUAUUAAAGUGUAUAUAUAUAUAUAUAUAUAUAUAUAUAUAUAUAUAUAUAUAUAUAUAUAGAGAGAGACUACUAUGCUAUCGGAAGCACGGAGCCUUCCGUGCUUCCAGCUCGUUUUCGAUGUUGCGACUUUCGAAUCGUCGAUCGGCUCCGUUAAACUUGAUCUAGAGUAUUUGAAGUACCUAGAAAAUAAAUUUUAUGAUUUUACGAUAUCAUUUGCCUAGUGAACGAAGGGGCUCAAAAUCAACGGCUGAAAAUAAAAAUCUUACAAAAUGUAAUAAUAUGACAUUAAAAUUUUAAAUCAAAGAUAUUGAUCUUGUUUUAUAUAGUAUAAAGAAUUUUCUAUCAAAAUUUCACGUGAUUUGGAUAUUUCUACACCGUUAAACUUGCAAACGGCUCACUACGGCCAUUGAAAUUUGUUGAUUUUGAGCCCAUUCGAUCACUAGGCAAAUGAUAUCGAAAAAUAAUAAAAUUUAUUUUCUAGGUACUUCAAAUACUCUAGAUCAAGUUUAACGGAGCCGAUCGACGAUUCGAAAGUCGCAACAUCGAAAACGAGCUGGAAGCACGGAAGGCUCCGUGCUUCCGAUAGCAUAGUAGCCUCACUAUAUAGAUAUAUAUAUAUAGAGUGAGGCUACUAUGCUAUCGGAAGCAUAGAGCCUUCCGUGCUUCCAGCUCAUUUUUGAUGUUGCGACUUUCGAAUCGUCGAUCGGCUCCGUUAAAUUUGAUCUAGAGUAUUUGAAGCAUCUAGAAAAUAAAUUAUACGAUUUUUCGAUAUUAUUUGCCGAGCAAACGAAGAGGCUCAAAAUGAACAGCUGAAAAUAAAAAUCUUACAAAACGUGAUAAUAUGACAUUAAAAUUUUAUAUCAAAGAUAUUGAUCUUGUUUUAGUAUAAAGAAUUUUCUAUCAAAAUUUCACGUGAUUUGGAUAUUUCUACACCGUUAAACUUGCAAACGGCUCAGUACGGCCAUUGAAAUUUGUUGAUUUUGAGCACAUUCGAUCAUUAGGCAAAUGAUAUCGUAAAAUUAUAAAAUUUAUUUUCUAAGUACUUCAUAUACUCUAGAUCAAGUUUAACAGAGCCAAUCGACGAUUCGAAAGUCGCAACAUCGAAAACGAGCUGGAAGCAUAGAAGGCUCCGUGCUUCCAAUAGAAUAGUAGCCUCACUAUAUAUAUAUGAGUAGGGCUAGAAUACUUGUAAAAGUAUCAUGGAGGUGAUACUUGUGUGUUUUUAGCCUUUGGAUAGAGAGAUGUGAGGUUGAGAUGAUGGAGGUAGGUAGUGGUAGGUGGUGGUAGGUGGAAUAGUGUUUAAUCCAAGGGCUAUUAAUAAUCAAAAAGUAGAUCAAAUGGCUUAAAACCUAAUAGCACCAUGAUGGUGAUACUUGUAAAAGUAUCAUAGCUCAACUCNNNNNNNNNNNNNNNNNNNNNNNNNNNNNNNNNNNNNNNNNNNNNNNNNNNNNNNNNNNNNNNNNNNNNNNNNNNNNNNNNNNNNNNNNNNNNNNNNNNNNNNNNNNNNNNNNNNNNNNNNNNNNNNNNNNNNNNNNNNNNNNNNNNNNNNNNNNNNNNNNNNNNNNNNNNNNNNNNNNNNNNNNNNNNNNNNNNNNNNNNNNNNNNNNNNNNNNNNNNNNNNNNNNNNNNNNNNNNNNNNNNNNNNNNNNNNNNNNNNNNNNNNNNNNNNNNNNNNNNNNNNNNNNNNNNNNNNNNNNNNNNNNNNNNNNNNNNNNNNNNNNNNNNNNNNNNNNNNNNNNNNNNNNNNNNNNNNNNNNNNNNNNNNNNNNNNNNNNNNNNNNNNNNNNNNNNNNNNNNNNNNNNNNNNNNNNNNNNNNNNNNNNNNNNNNNNNNNNNNNNNNNNNNNNNNNNNNNNNNNNNNNNNNNNNNNNNNNNNNNNNNNNNNNNNNNNNNNNNNNNNNNNNNNNNNNNNNNNNNNNNNNNNNNNNNNNNNNNNNNNNNNNNNNNNNNNNNNNNNNNNNNNNNNNNNNNNNNNNNNNNNNNNNNNNNNNNNNNNNNNNNNNNNNNNNNNNNNNNNNNNNNNNNNNNNNNNNNNNNNNNNNNNNNNNNNNNNNNNNNNNNNNNNNNNNNNNNNNNNNNNNNNNNNNNNNNNNNNNNNNNNNNNNNNNNNNNNNNNNNNNNNNNNNNNNNNNNNNNNNNNNNNNNNNNNNNNNNNNNNNNNNNNNNNNNNNNNNNNNNNNNNNNNNNNNNNNNNNNNNNNNNNNNNNNNNNNNNNNNNNNNNNNNNNNNNNNNNNNNNNNNNNNNNNNNNNNNNNNNNNNNNNNNNNNNNNNNNNNNNNNNNNNNNNNNNNNNNNNNNNNNNNNNNNNNNNNNNNNNNNNNNNNNNNNNNNNNNNNNNNNNNNNNNNNNNNNNNNNNNNNNNNNNNNNNNNNNNNNNNNNNNNNNNNNNNNNNNNNNNNNNNNNNNNNNNNNNNNNNNNNNNNNNNNNNNNNNNNNNNNNNNNNNNNNNNNNNNNNNNNNNNNNNNNNNNNNNNNNNNNNNNNNNNNNNNNNNNNNNNNNNNNNNNNNNNNNNNNNNNNNNNNNNNNNNNNNNNNNNNNNNNNNNNNNNNNNNNNNNNNNNNNNNNNNNNNNNNNNNNNNNNNNNNNNNNNNNNNNNNNNNNNNNNNNNNNNNNNNNNNNNNNNNNNNNNNNNNNNNNNNNNNNNNNNNNNNNNNNNNNNNNNNNNNNNNNNNNNNNNNNNNNNNNNNNNNNNNNNNNNNNNNNNNNNNNNNNNNNNNNNNNNNNNNNNNNNNNNNNNNNNNNNNNNNNNNNNNNNNNNNNNNNNNNNNNNNNNNNNNNNNNNNNNNNNNNNNNNNNNNNNNNNNNNNNNNNNNNNNNNNNNNNNNNNNNNNNNNNNNNNNNNNNNNNNNNNNNNNNNNNNNNNNNNNNNNNNNNNNNNNNNNNNNNNNNNNNNNNNNNNNNNNNNNNNNNNNNNNNNNNNNNNNNNNNNNNNNNNNNNNNNNNNNNNNNNNNNNNNNNNNNNNNNNNNNNNNNNNNNNNNNNNNNNNNNNNNNNNNNNNNNNNNNNNNNNNNNNNNNNNNNNNNNNNNNNNNNNNNNNNNNNNNNNNNNNNNNNNNNNNNNNNNNNNNNNNNNNNNNNNNNNNNNNNNNNNNNNNNNNNNNNNNNNNNNNNNNNNNNNNNNNNNNNNNNNNNNNNNNNNNNNNNNNNNNNNNNNNNNNNNNNNNNNNNNNNNNNNNNNNNNNNNNNNNNNNNNNNNNNNNNNNNNNNNNNNNNNNNNNNNNNNNNNNNNNNNNNNNNNNNNNNNNNNNNNNNNNNNNNNNNNNNNNNNNNNNNNNNNNNNNNNNNNNNNNNNNNNNNNNNNNNNNNNNNNNNNNNNNNNNNNNNNNNNNNNNNNNNNNNNNNNNNNNNNNNNNNNNNNNNNNNNNNNNNNNNNNNNNNNNNNNNNNNNNNNNNNNNNNNNNNNNNNNNNNNNNNNNNNNNNNNNNNNNNNNNNNNNNNNNNNNNNNNNNNNNNNNNNNNNNNNNNNNNNNNNNNNNNNNNNNNNNNNNNNNNNNNNNNNNNNNNNNNNNNNNNNNNNNNNNNNNNNNNNNNNNNNNNNNNNNNNNNNNNNNNNNNNNNNNNNNNNNNNNNNNNNNNNNNNNNNNNNNNNNNNNNNNNNNNNNNNNNNNNNNNNNNNNNNNNNNNNNNNNNNNNNNNNNNNNNNNNNNNNNNNNNNNNNNNNNNNNNNNNNNNNNNNNNNNNNNNNNNNNNNNNNNNNNNNNNNNNNNNNNNNNNNNNNNNNNNNNNNNNNNNNNNNNNNNNNNNNNNNNNNNNNNNNNNNNNNNNNNNNNNNNNNNNNNNNNNNNNNNNNNNNNNNNNNNNNNNNNNNNNNNNNNNNNNNNNNNNNNNNNNNNNUCUCUUAAUAUAUAUAUAUAUAUAUAUAUAUAUAUAUAUAUACUUUUAAUUAAUUACAUAUAAUUUUUUUAAAAAAAUACAACAGUUUAAAAUGCACCAGUACAUUUAUAAUUGAUAAUUCAAAGAGAAGUUAAAAUCAUUACAAAAAUCAAACUCACCGCGAUAGAAAGCGAGUAUAAAUAGCAUCAAUCACAGCCGUUGAAUGUCACUCCCUAGUCAUCAAAUCUAACGGUCUGAUCGAUCUCUACCAACCUGUAACCCUCCUCGCCCCCACGCCGCAUCAUAUGAUCGACGCCCCGCUCCGCUCCGUCGCUCGAUUCCUGGUCCGGUUCAUCAAAUCCAUCUCCCCCACCUCCCCCUCCUCCCUCCUCCAAACCCUAACCCUCCACUCCUUCCUCACCAAAUCCGGCCACCUCGUCUCCAACGACUACGUAUCGAGCUCUCUCACCUCCCUCUACGCUUCGUUGGGCCACAUUGCUAGCGCACGCCAAGUGUUCGAUGAAAUUCCUGAACCGGGCCUGGUCGCCCGAACCGCCAUGGCCCGGGCCUACCUCGCCUUGGACCGGCCCUUGGACGCCUUGCUUCUCUUCCGGUCCGCGAGGUCGUCCGGUUUUUUCUUGGACCCUGUGGCUCUCGCCACCGCCAUCGCUGCGUGCCGCCUCCUCGGCAGCCACAGCAGCUUAAAUUUAGCAAAAAUGGUUCAUGGGUUCAUAGUUACUAGUGGGACCAAAAUCGAUCCUUUCGUUAGCACCGAAUUGAUCAGAGUUUAUGGCGAGUGCAAUGAAGUAGUGCUCUCUCGUCGAGCGUUUGAUGCAAUGCCGGAGAGAACUACUGUGGCUUGGAAUGUAAUUAUACAUCAGUAUGUUAGAAAUGGUGAGAUAGAAGUUGCACAUGAGUUGUUCGUCGAAAUUGCGAAUAGAGAUGUCGUUUCGUGGAAUACAUUGAUAUCCGGGUAUUGUCAAGUCGGUAGGUGUCGAGAGGCGUUGUGUUUGUUUUAUGAGAUGGUAUCAUCUAAAUUGAAGCCUAAUGUGCUAACUUUGUGUACUGCUCUGUCGGCUUGUGCUAGCAUUGGUGCUUUGGAGACCGGGAUGUGGAUCCAUGCAUAUAUCGAGAGAAACCGUUUGAACUCCGAUUGCUCGUUGGACCAUUGCUUAAUUGACAUGUAUGCAAAGUGCGGGAACAUCGAGAAGGCAGUUCAAGUCUUUAAAAAGAUCCCCGUAAGGCGAGAUUUAUACUCAUGGACAUCAUUGAUUUGUGGGUUCGCAAUGCAUGGGCGGGCCAUCGAAGCUAUUCAAACAUUCUCUUCUAUGCAACAAGUUGGUGUUCGUCCUGACGACGUUACAUUAGUUGGCGUUCUAAAUGCCUGUGCACAUGGCGGUUUAGUAGAUGAAGGUUUGCGUUAUUUCUACUCAAUGGAGGAAGCAUACAAUCUCACACAUAAAAUCGAGCAUUGUGGUUGUAUGGUCGAUCUUUUGGGUCGUGUCGGUCGAUUAAAGGAGGCAUAUGAUCUCAUAUUGAGGAUGCCUAUAAAGCCCAAUGAAGUUAUAUGGGGUACAUUGCUAGGUGCUUGCAAGGUUCAUAACAAUGUGGAGCUCGGUGAGAUUGCGGCCGCCAAAGUGAUCGAAUUGGAUCCCUAUGAUCCGUGGGGUCGAGUUAUGUUGUCUAAUAUGUACGCAGAAGCUCGCGAUUGGAGUGGAGUGAUGAGGCAAAGGAAGGAGAUGAAAGGAGUGGGGACUAGCAAAACUCCUGGGUGCAGUUUGAUUGAGGUAAAUGGUGAGGUGCAUGAAUUUGUCGCGGCGGGGAGUCUGCACCCACAACAUGAAGAGAUUCUUGCUCUGUUAUGUAACAUUGAAACUCAGAUGCACAAAAUUGAUCCUUGGAAGUGUGAUUGAUGCAUUGUAAAGUGAAUCUUUGAGACCUCGCUCACCUAAUUUUAUAUCAAUUUUUGAUGAAUUCUUUUCUUUUGAACCUUGUUUGUAACUGCUGCAGUAAUCUUCAUGUUGGGAGUAUGUAAAACAACUGAUUUCUUUAAAACUUAAGCUUUCCAAAAAUGAUUGUUUAAUAUAUAAUUUCAGAAUUUCCAAUCAGUUGUAACUCUCAAUUGGUUAGAAUUGAUUUCUUUCUUUCUUUUUUUUCUUUUUUUUUGGGGGGGGGUCAAAGAAGAAAAACGAGGAACACAGGAGACACUACUUACUAUCAGGAUCACGUGAUUGUCACGUGCUCUUAUUGCAAAGGCCGAGAGGAUAAGGCAACGGCCAUCUUCCACUCGCGCCAUUCAAAAUUUAUUUCCUUUCUUUUUCAAAAUCUCAAUACAUCUCUCAUGCUUCGACCGUCCGAUUAAGAUCCAACUCUCCAAAAUAGAUCCGGUCGUCCGUAUACGAUCAUCACAAUUGUAUAAGACUCAUACCCAAAACUACCUUAAACUGGAACGCAGAGACCUAAACGGCUAAACCGUAGAUAACGAGAAAAAAUGCGGUUCACCUCCUCUCCUUCUCCGGCCAUCGCCGCCGCAUCCUCCUUACCUCCGGCGACUGCGGCGGCGGUGGCGGAGAAGCGGGCGAAAGCUAGGGUUAGGGUUCCGGCGAGAGAAACCCGCGCCGUAACCGUAGGUUUCAAUCUGUUGGGGCUCGUGCGAAGCUCGACACGGCUAAGGGCCGGAUUAACGGAGAUCGAGCCCGAUCUACAAGAAGACCCCAUCGACCGUUGGCGAACGAACGGCGUUAGCCCCGUUAGUUUUCUUAAUCCUCGUAUCUUUGUGUUCAUUGAGUUAAUUUGUGAUAAAAAUUGGAUUUUUGUGGUGAUUAAUGUGGAUCUGUGGAAUGAGUUUAGGAGGAUUUUAUAUACGGGGAGUAUGAUGGGCACCACACUUAUCAUGAAGGCCAUGAAGGUAUUAUUCCUCCUUUUCUUAUUAUUUCUAGAUUAGCCUACUAUGUUUCACUAAAUUUUGGUACUUUAUUUGGAUUAUUAUUGCCAGUUUAUAUUUAUAUUCAGUUUAAAAAUAGGAAAAAAAAAAAAAGAUAGCAUUUCUCGAAAUAGUGGCAGAGAUGAAACAGAAUAUUUACUUGUGUAGUGCAAAACAGCUAAGUUUAGUCGUUUAAUUACCUUCUCACAAAAGAAAAGGGUCAAUAUUUCGACUAUAUAUAUGUGGAUCACAUAUUGAGUAACUUUAGAUGCUACGAAAAUCGAAGCACCAUUUAAUCAAGGGUCCCACACCUUAGGCUAAUGAGUGUGGUCAAAGCACGUAUUCGGUUAAAUAGUUCCUACAUUUUUAUCUUUCCUUUUUCAAGUUCGUUCUACUUCCAACUCCCCUCGCACAUUGAUCACUAUCUUAUCUUUUAUGGUUUCUGGUUAAGAUCGCAUCUAUGUUUUUAUAUACAUUUGAGAAGGACUUAUGUUUUGAGGAUUUGGCUUUAUUGUCGAUUUCGCAUACUUACUGUGGAUGCAUAGAACUCUUUUACACAAUAGAUCAAGUGAGUCAAUAUUUCAUACUUCACUGAAAGGUAAAAAGGGCUUUUGGGAAUCCGUCGUGGAGGAGUAUCAAGCAGCAGAACCUCCAACAGGUUUUCAAGGUACGAAAUGAGGAUGAAGAUCAAUAAUCAUCUUUGUUUACAAUUGGCUUAUGCAUGUCUUUGUGCGUUAAGUUAAUGACUACGUGUCGCUUUUGUCUUGAUAAUUUAUUUGCAGCGCUCAUAUCUUGGUUGUUUCUUCCUGCAAUUGUUGCUGGUUUGGCUUACAACGUGCCGGUAUGAGAUGUCCUGCCAUACUUCAAAUUUUAGUUUGUUUCUGGUGACAAUCUCAUGGAUUUUAGAAUGUGAGUAUAGCAACUAUAAUUAAGACAAGAUGGAACUUCCCAUCCUGUUUUUAAUUAACUUACGUAGGAAAAUCUCGAAACAUGUAGCAUUCUUGUGUGUUUAAGGAAUAGUUCCUGUUACAUUGCUCCAGUCACUUUCGGCUCUCUUAAAUUCAUCUAUUUACAAGCAAAUGGCAUAUUUAUUUAUCUAUUCUGAAAAGCAAAAGCGCCUGCAAGUUAAAUUUGUUUUGUAGGCCAACAAAAUAUUCCCUUAACAGUGAAAACUCAAAAUUUUCAAAUGUUAAUUAAAGAUUACUGAGCUCAUUGUUUUUUUCCCCCGGUGAUAAGGAUUUGAUACUGGAUAACUAUUUUUAUGAGCAUUUUGAAUUAGAAUGCCAUUCCGCAGGGUGAAUACUUGUACAUUGGAGCAGGUGUCUUUAUCGUAAUAUUCUGUGCUAUUGAGAUGGGAAAGCCGGACAAGCCCCACAAUUUCGAGCCUCAAAUCUACAACAUGGAGAGGGGAGCUCGGGACAAGUUGAUCGCGGAUUAUAACUCCAUGGAUAUUUGGGAUUUCAAUGAGAAGUAUGGUGAGCUUUGGGACUUCACUGUGAAGAGGGAUGAUAUAGUUAAGUCAUAGUUCUCACUCUUAAAUAUGAACCAUGCGACUGAUAUAAUAAGUACUUGUCAGCAAGAUCGGAACACUCUGCACAUCAAAUCUCAGGAUCUUGUGAAAACAGAUGACAAAAAAUUAAUGGAUAUGAGAUCGCAAAGCAAUCAAAUUAGUUUCAGAUGGAACUCUGCGUGGUGAGUACUCAACAUCGGAACUCGUAAAACUGUCAAGUCUGAAGCUUGUUGUGAUGCUUAAUUAGUGUUUAAUUUAUUAUUUCACGUCUAUUUAGCUUUUUUAAGAACAGUUUAAGCUUUGUAACUAUAUGGAUUUUUCACCAUUUCUUGUGUUAUUCCUCAUUAUGUAACAGUGGACAAUAUUUGCCGCAACGAUUUGUUGUAUAAAGCAGCAGUUGCUCUACAUGAAUUCUAACAUGAGAAAUUAUUUUUCACCAUUUUACAUUGCCCGCUGAACGAUCUGUCCUUCAUUUCUUCUCAACUUUCAAUACUUGUCAUACCAAACAAAAAUUUGUGAAAACUACGAAAGGUUAAUGGAAGACGAAUGCUGGUGGCUGACGUAGUGGACCAGGCGUAGGGCCAAAAAAAAUCUCACUACUGUCUCUGAAAUGAGCUUCUCUAUGAGGUAUAACAGGACAAUCUUAGUGAGCAUGGUUUCUGCCUGUGUGCUUGAAAAUGGACCCACUCUUUGGCGAUAAUAAGUACACAAUAUCAUACAUUUGUUGCUAAAUAUGCCGAGCAUUUUUCUGCGCCAACUAAAUUUCAUGGAAAGGAUAAUGAAGAGAAGGUUUGAGGCGAAGAUCGUGGCUCAAAUGGUCUCUAACGCAUUAACCCAAUUUUCACAUAAAGCAGAAUCUAAACUGGAGCUGUAAAAGUCCUAUCAACAACAAAUUUUAAUUAACUAUUCAAAUCAGCGAUGAUUAUAAAGUGUAAGUGUAUUUUUAACUGUGUUACGCACAGAGGUUCGACUGGCCCGGUGCAGCUGGAUUUUAUUUUAAAACAUUAACGCAUACAUGCGGCCUAAGAUAUCUUGGAAAAAGAAAAAAAAACACUGCAGUUGUAAGCUGGAUGCAUGUGGCCCACGAACAUCUUAGAAAGGAAAAAGAUACCUACAGUUAAAAGCUUUAUUUUCGAAAGAUUCGAGAAAGUUGGCUCUUUUAUUACCCUUUUGGGGGCGGUUUUUUUUUUUUUUUUUUUUUUUUUUUUUUUNUGAAUCCCGCUUACUUACUAAUCAGAUCGAUCCUCAUGUAUAUAUUUUAUACGACGAAUAGUUUAUGAAAGUAGCUUCAGCUGCAAAGUGGACUACUCAUUUUAUAUAGAAAAAAGUAUAGCACGAGAUAGAGUGAGAGAGAGAGAGAGAGAGAGAGAGGGUUUUGUAGGAAGGAUAGAGUAAAAGUGGGAUCGAAGAUGGUGUCUCAGGUGAAGUGCUCCGCCCUCUCAUUGCGAUCUCCUCAUCUUCCCUUCAUCCCCGCGACGCAGAUCCCUCUUCGCCCCUGUUGUCUCAGGUUUCCCUCCUCCCUCUCUCCGAUUCCUUAAUUCGUAUCCUCCUCUUUCGAAACAUGAUCCAUCGACGUUUUGUUUUUUCGCCUUUUUUAUUUUAGUUUUUUUAUCUGUUUUUUAUGCUACAACACGACUCAGCUCGGAUUCGAUGUCGACUUUUUUCAUUUCGAAUCUCCGUAGCUUUUAUGAAGAUGCAGCGAGAAACUUCUUAUACAAUUUUUUUUUUUUUUUUUUGUGCUUUGGAGUUUGGGUCGAUACUAACAAUGGGAAAAAUCUCGCUAGUAAUAAUAUCUGCUGAUCUCUUCAGAUUCAGGAGCUCUGCUCAGUUUCUUAAUCAGUGUACACGACGCUUGGUGCUAAAUUCUUAUUUGCAAAAUGGAAAAGGUGCGAUUUUUUUGCUGUUUGGACUAUUCCUGGAUCAUUUCCUAUCAGAAACUGUUGUCUUAUAUCAUCCACAAAAUGUUUACAUGCAAACAGUACACAACACUUCCUAAGACUAAUUUGUCGGACUGCUUAAUCCUCAUUAAUCCAACAACGACAACAACUAUUAUUUUGUUAUGAGGGUUUAUUUUUGUUAAUGAUUUCUUAUGGAAAGGCAUUACCUUUGUCAGGAAGAAGAGUGGGCAAUCCGGUAAAGAGAUCGGCUAACAUACUUGGUCCCGUUUCUGAUUUCUUGGCUAUUGCAUCUGCUGUCAAGGACUCAAUAUAUAUGCUUAACAAGGUCGUCUAUUAGGAGACUCUUACUACAUGUAAUAUUUCCUUAAUGCACCUUUUCUCAUCAAUUCUAAUGUAAAUACAGUUGGAUUUCUCUUGAUUUUUCAAUUUCUACUAUACUUCUGAUGAACAAAUUAUGGUCUCUAUCUGCUUCUGCUGUUGUCGUUUCAAUUGUUAACCUUUUCUCUUAACAUUUCAAGUUACAAUAUUGCAGGGGUCUGACGGAAAUGCUACUUUACAAUGCUUGGCAUACUACUUCAUCUUCAGAUUGGCCAUAAAAACUAAGCAUUGGAUAAUGUUGAUGAUGGUGAAACUGUCUGUAAUGCCAUCAUUUGUCAGCACGAGUUUGCCGUUUGCUUCUGUGUCCAACUCUCUCAACAAACCUGUACCUCUCCAGCUAGAUGUGACUUUCCCUUCUUUUCAAGAUAUCAAAUUGAGUAUUUCUCGGGCGUAUUAUCUAUUUAACAUGCAGCUGGAACGUAAUAUUGGCACGUAAGUCAACUGGAUUUAGCUAUGACUGGUUAACUUUAUACAUUCAUUAGUUUGGAUUUUCAUUUGGGCUAUUAACCUUUUUUUUUUGAACUAAUCCUAUUGCAACUUUGAUAGAUUAUUAUCUGAAUCUUCUCCCAUGGUUAAAUUUUUUAUGACUGUGGUUGAUUUUCGCUUUCCUUUUUAUAAGAAAAGCUAUCUUUUCAAGGAAAAUCUUUGUUUAACUGUAACUUUGCUGAAGUUUGUUGACUGCAUCAUUUCUUUUUGCAGGAUUUUUUUUGCUUUACUCGUGGCAUGCUUCUCGUUUGUCGUAAUUGGGGGUUUCCUAUUUUACAGGAUUAGGUAUAUAUUUCUAAUUUUUUACUGCAACUAUUCUGGUUUUUGAAAGGUCUUUCUCUACUAUUGUUGCUCUGGUGGAACAUUGUUAGUUGAACCAUAACAAAAGAUGCUCUUUCUUAAAAACCGUAAAAAACAAAGAGAGGAAAAUAAAAAACAUACAACCUGGGCGUUGCCCAGAUUUUCUUGGCCCUCUAUUUUUGAUACCCUGAUCAGCCCAUUGAGUUGGUUCGGCAUUGAUCCAACCUGGAAGAAAACUACCCCUGGUCUUGCUGGGCUGAGCCAUAUUUGCUCGGGCAUACCAAAUACUAAAAACAUGUCCCUGAAUUACUCCCUUUGAAUUACUCCUUUUGGUUAUUCCUUUUAGGAAUAAACAGCAAUCGCUUGAGGAUUGCUUUUGGGAAGCUUGGGCUUGUCUUUGUUCAUCUUCUACUCACUUAAGAGUAAGUCAAGUUGUAUGGAAUUAGAAGUUUCUUUGUCUUGAAUUCUGAAAAUGUAAAUUUCCUACUUGAUUUUCAGCGGAUUCAAAUGAAAAUUUAUUUGUUUUGUUUAACAGCAAAAAACACGUAUUGAACGUAUAAUUGGUCUUGUUCUUGCUAUCUGGGGUAUUUUAUUCUAUUCCCGUUUGUUGAGCACAAUGACAGAACAAUUUAGAGUAAGUAUUUCUGUUUCCCAUUUUAUGAGAUUAAAGGUUAUAAUUUUUAUGCUUGCACCUAAGCAAGUGUCGUGCUUGCAGAACCACAUGCAGAGGAUUAGAGAAGGAGCACAACUGCAAGUUAUGGAGAGUGAUCAUAUUAUUAUCUGCGGUGUCAAUAGUCAUCUGUUUUUCAUACUGAAACAACUAAAUAAGUUUCAUGAGUCAGCCAUCCGCCUAGGUACUGCUACAGCAAGGUAAUGUUUUGCAUUGAACUUCUGAUGCAACUUUAGUUGUAAUGAUCAAACGUCUUGUUGUACAAAUGAACAACAAAUGAAAAAACAUAUGUCGUACCACUUAUGCAUCGUCUUUUGAUUAACAAAAUGAAGGAAGCAAAGAAUUCUUCUUUUAUCGGAUCUCCCGAGAAAGCAAAUGGAGAAGCUUGGAGAUAGCAUGAACAAAGAUUUAAAUCAUAUAGAUGUCCUUACCAAGAGGUAAGUUGUUCUUAAUUUCCCAUCUAGUGCUUCUCAAAAAUACUUCUCCAGUUCUCAGUGCUCAGAAUUGCAUGGUAACAUCUCUGUCUUACAUGCAAGAUUUAAUUUUACAAUGGCAGUUGCACCCUUAGUUUGACAAAAUCCUUUGAGAGAGCUUCGGCUAAUACAGCAAGAUCCGUCAUUAUAUUACCAACAAAGAAUGAUCGGUCAGUAUAACUUUUUUAAUGUUCGCUCUACUUGAUCUAUAAUAGCCGAGAAGAUAUCACUUCUGCAGGAAAGCAUUUAUUGAAGAUUCUUGUCUCAUAUCUGUAUCUUGACAUAUUGGUUAUGCAAAAAAGCCUUUCUUUGUUUGUUACUUAAAAAUACCCAAUUUUAAAUGAAUCAUUAUUGGGAAAAUAUGAUCGCUCAGAAACAUCCAUUAUUGGGAAAAUGUAAUCACCUAGAAACAUCCACAUAAUGUGCAUACACUACUGUCGUUAUUUCAGUAUGGAUUUCAUUAUCCAUUUAUUUCUUAUGGGUAACUUUCUUAUUGACUUGAAAUAUUUGUUAAAAUAUUUUUUGAUCAACAUAAUCAGGUAUGAAGUUGAUACGGAUGCAUUUCUUUCUCUUUUAGCUCUGCAACCUCUUCCUAAAAUGGCAUCUGUUCCAACUGUUGUUGAGGUAUAGUACAUGCAAAUGAUUACUUGAUUGGAAAUCUACAUUUCUUGAUUUUGACUGCUAUCCAUUCUGUAGAGCACAAUUUACUAGUGUGGAAAUUCUUUCUAAAUCUUGUUAAUGCUCAUUGUCCAUGGGCUAAUUUUAUAGCUUUUAUCCUUCUAAAAGACAUUAUAAUUUUCCUUGUUUCAGGUCCCAAGUUUAUGUGUCAUUUCCAUAAUCCUAAUAUAUUUUCCUGCUUAUUUAAUAGAUGUACAUUAAUAUAUGUAUGUUGUAUAUAAACAUUAUGUCAUCUACAUGAGAUAUCUAACAAUGAUAUUGCUGGAUAUUGCUCUGACUGAAGGGUAAACCGUGCCCCCAAACAAAUUGAUUAGAUAGGUAAUUGCAAUGAUUACAGUGAUGACCAAGGAUAAAAGGUGGAAUAGCAGUAUCGGAUAGUUGGUUGGAAUAGUUGAUCCCAGGUUAUCCUAUUAUAUCCUGUAGACCAUAACAGCUUUUCCGACCCUUUUCUUCUGUGUUUGUCAGAAUAAUGAAGAUGAGGUGUAGAUUUUUUCUGACAUCUGCUUGGCUGUACAAUUUGAUGAUUGUGAUCUAAACAAUAACUUGUGCAGCUUUUCACUUAUUUCACCUUUUAUAAUGUAGGCUUCCAACUCUAGCACCUGUGAACUUCUGAAAUCAAUCACAGGAUUGAAUGUGCAGCCGGUGGAGAUGGUCGCUUCUAAGUUAUUUGUUCAAUGUUCUCGCCAGAAGGGCCUCCUCAAAAUUUAUAGGCACUUGCUUAAUUAUCAAAGUAUUUUUUUUUCAACCCACUAAAAGCAACAUGACGCUAAUAUAUUUAUCUAUAUUUAUUUGAAAAGUUCGUUUCGAUUAAUUUAGUAAAAUGUAGAAUACAUGAGAUGUCCAACCAUGACAAAUUUUGCUGGUACAGACCUUUUAUAUUAGAUAUGAUUUUUAAGGUUCGUAAAGUUUGUCUAAUGAUAUUCUAUUUCCUGUAAACAUUUGUUCAAAAAGUGAAAAUAGUGAGCUCACAGCUUUGUGCUUCUGCAUUUACUCAAUGAUCAUGUACUGCUAGUGAAAGUGCCAGUUGACCUUUCUGACAACUUUAUUUUGCCACAAUCCGGGAAAACAAGGACUUAAGAGAAGUUUAGGUUUGCACAAGCCACCAAAAGUGCAACAUUAUAUUGAACAAACUAGAAAGUAGACCCUUUUGCGUUGGUAGGCUAGUUGAAUUAUACUUGUAAGACAAUGUAGGAACUGUAUUCUUUUGUCUAAGCAUAUUAUUUUCUAAAUAAAAAUAGUACAUUGAUCUGGAUCUUAGACUCUGCAAUUUAACUUGCAGAUUUUAAGUGUUGUUAAUUUUUGUAGGUGAUUUUAACCAAAUUAACACUCUUUGCUCUGUAAUAUAACUAUCUUAUUGCUUGCAGAAAAUGUGUUCAAUUUAUGUAUCUCUCCAAAUCUAGUAGGCUUGAAGUAUACGCACGUAAGGCAUGGAAUCCAAGAGGUAGAACUGCAUGCUGCAUUUAUUUAUAUGUAUUUUCCUAAAUUAUUCUUCUAUGAUGCCAUAUCUUUUUCUUGUGGCCAGGCAGUUGUAUGUGGAAUCUUUAGAGAUGGAAAAGUAAAUUUUCACCCAAGUGACGAUGAAGAGAUUAGACAAACAGACAAGGUAUGUAUGUGUAUAUUCUGACAAUGAAAUAUUGAGUAGAAAUGUAGCAAGAAACGGCAUACUGUUUUAUAUAAAUGGAAUUUCAAAUGGUUCAGUGUUCCUCACCUGAUUCAGACAAGCCUUAAGUUCAAAUGUUAAGUAUUUUAUCGCAAUUUGCUUUUAAGCGUAAACCAUAUUAAACCUAACACUCUGUAAGAUAAUGGAUGAUUCAAUUUUACCUCAUUUUGAUCUGAUUAAUGGAUUUUAUAAUCUUAAACUUUUGUCUUUGUCUUCAUUCACUCGGAAUUGGCAAACAAAUCCUCAAAACUGCUCUGGACUUAAAAACUAACUUUAACAAGACCAGGCUCUUUACAUAUGGUCAUGAAACUUGCCUACCCAAUCUAAGACUGAAUCAGUCAUCAUUACUUUGUGAGUAUAUUUACAUGAUAAUGCACCAAAAAGCUGGUUUCUUAUUCACUGUGCUUUUGUGUCUUCUAAUUUUCUGUCUGUUACAGUUGCUUCUUAUAGCUCCUGUUUAUGGGAGAAAAAAGCCACAACUAUCGCUCCCAGAUGUAUCAAAAGAAAAGCAAGGUUACACUUCUCAUGAUCUGAAGGUGAUUGAAAGUGAAGGAUCAAAAGAUAUAGCCCUCGAAGUGAAGAAAGCACGACUUGAGAGCAUUGUGAAGCGGCCUUCAAAAGCAAGCUCAAAGGUACACUUUUAGUGAAGGGCGUGCUUUACGACAGAAUAAUCUUUUACACAGAAUUAUGCUUCUAAUAACCUAAGAAGUUUUACGCAGACUAGUGAAUGGAAUUUAGGACCAAGAGAGUACAUUCUUAUGCUUGGAUGGCGGCCAAAAGUUGGUGACAUGAUUCGAGAAUACGACAAUUACCUUGGACCCGGUAGUAUACUGGUAAGUUUCACGUUUCUGAAACUGAAAAUUUAAUCCACCUAAAAGCAUGUAAUUUCUACAAACUAUAAAAUUGAAAUACGUGAUAAAUUUAUUAUUUCUCGUUAGCUUAAUCGUUUUAAAUUAUUGGUGAAAGUUUGAUAUUUGCUGCUUGCUUUUCUUAAAGCUGAAAACCAUAGACACAUUUGCACUGUAUUUUGUAGUAAUAUUUAGUCAUAAACUGUAAACCAAAAAAAAAAAAACUAUUGGAUUCGGCUGCAUGGUUUUUUUAUACUUCUCAAUUGAUUUCUAGGAAGUGUUUUCCUCCUAUUACAGAGGAUUGGUCAAUAGUUUGUUCACAUAAACCUUAUGUUCAUUCUUUUAAGCAUGUUUAAAUCAUCAGUGUCAUGCUGUAAUAGGUUGACAUGUAAAGCAAAUUGCAGGAAAUCUUAUCAGAAGCUUCUGUUGAAGAGAGAAACAGUAUAGUCAACCCUGUUGUCCAAAACCAACUGAAACAUAUCAGGGUUUCACAUCGGGUCUCUCUCUCUCUCUCUCUCUCUCUCUCUCUCUCUCUCUGUGUUAGUCUCGAUUGAGAAUAACAUCCUAAUGCAGGUUGGAAGUCCUAUGAACUAUGAAACACUGAAGGAAGCAAUCUUAAAUAUGAGGAAAUCCUUCAAAGAUGCAAAACAUAUUCCCGUUUCAAUUGUAGUGAUAUCUGAUAGAGAUUGGCUGGUUGGAGGUAAUGUUGUUAUGAGAAAUUUUUUAUGGUGAAGGGUUAUUCAACUAAUGUAUGUGUCCUGCAGAUCCUUCCGAGGCUGAUAAACAUUCAGCUUAUUCCCUCCUUCUUGCUGAAAGUAUUUGCAAAAAACACAAUAUAAAGGUCAGUUUGCGAAGUAGAAACAUAAAAAGUUUUACUGCUAAUUAAAGGAAUGCCAAUACUACAUCUCAUUGAUUCUUCAAUGGUCAUAUGCGCUGUGCAGGUUGAAAACCUUGUAGCUGAGAUUGUAGAUACAAGAUUGGGGAAACAAGUAAUUACUAUUUACCUUCUUUUACUAAGACAAAAUUUGAAACUGUGGAAACAUUACACUUACUGGUUUACUUCGGACUUCAGAUUUCUAGAAUCAGGCCAUCCCUUUUGUUUAUUGGAGCAGAGGAAGUAAUGAGCCUUGUGACAGCUCAAGGUUGAUCAUCUUAAGUAUGCUUCAUUAUUUCUCAAAUAUCAUGUUAUUUCAUACUAAGAACUAUUAUUAGAAUGAGCUCCCCACCAUAUUGCAGUGGCUGAAAGCAGCGAGCUGAAUGAGGUGUGGAAAGACAUUCUUAAUGCAGAGGGUGACGAGAUAUAUGUGAAGGCAAGUUUUUCCCCUUUUUCCCUGGCUACAUUGUAACGUUUAUUUCCCUAGGAUCUCUCUCUCUCUCUCUCAUGCGUGCUCACCCACCCACCCUUCAACACACCCACCACAAGAGCUCAUUGGUGCCGUUGUUUUCAUUUGACAGGAUAUAUUCAUGCAUCAAGUACUUUUUUCUAUAUAAUCAAUGUUCACCGUCAGUAUUGAAUUUUGAAGUCCUACGUCCACAUGUUCUUUAUUGCAGGAAAUAUGCCUUUACAUGAAGAAGGGCGAGAAUCCCUCAUUUUCAGAGCUUUCGGAGAGGGCAGUUUUGCGUCGCGAAGUAGCUAUUGGUUAUGUCAAAGGCAACAAGCAGGUAUGUUUUAUCUUGUAGUAUUUAGAGUCCUGUUAGUUAUACAACACCUUGAAUUUUAUUUUACAUUUACAUUACCUAUUAUUUUAUUAUGAUAGGUCAUAAAUCCUAGCAACAAGUCGGAACCACUAUCUCUUGAAAUGACAGAUUCGCUUAUUGUAAUAUCGGAAUUUGAUGGUAAAUAGCCAAUUGUGAAGCAAAGCACAUUCGUCUGCAGAAAAGGAUAUAGACUCGCUGCGGAGAUAUACUUCAUACUUCUUGGUACAAGAAAUGCAGAAUCGCUUGAAGAUUGUUACUGGAAGAAUAAGUUAUUCUUCAAAAAUAAUUGAUUCUGAUAUCUACCGUGAAGUCUUUAUUACUGGGUUCACAUACCCUAUUGUUUGAUCAUUCUAGAACUGUUUAGAAAAAAAAUUUCGCUAUUCCUUGGUGCGCACAAGCAAAUUAAUUUUGCUCUCCCACAUCCGAGAUGAGAUUUCUUGGCUGUAAACAAUAAUUGAGAACAUUCAAUUAUUAACUCAAAAAUCCUCUGUUCUUUCUCAAACUCGUUUCUCUUGGUUUUGCCUUGCGAUUGCGUUGCAGUGUUAGGAUUUCUGAUGACUCUGCUGAUAUGACCAAUGCUAGAUCAGAUAUCGGCAUUCAUUUGUCACGUGCCAUUUCCAUGUUGAAGUGUAAUAUUAAUGCGACGAGCUAUGCACUUUGCAACUCUGUUUUUCUUUAUCUUUAAGCAGCUUUAUUUUCUUUGCUGUUAGCUUAUAAUCUCUCGAAGGAAGCAACAUUUGCUAUCAAUUGUAUUAUAGAUCCUGAUUAUAAUCUGUAAGAAGCUAGUUAUGAGUCCAUGAUCAACUGGAGAAACAUAUAUACUGCAGGAAGAAAUAAUACAAGAAAUAGAACCAACGUCUCUCUCUCCCUUUUUUUUUUUUAUUCCUUUUUUGUUUUGUUUUUUUUUCCUUCUCUCUCUUGCAACUUUUGUGUCCUCGUCAGUGCUAGACCUGAUAUUUCUACACCAAAAACAAGUAGAUCUCUUCACAGCAUUUUGCUUUUGAAUUUUUCUUUAUACACUUUGAGAAAUGAGCAAAUUGUCUAUGGUUAGAGAGUAUCAUAAUGUACUAUAGCAACAACUCUUUGUAGUCUCUCUCUCUCUCUCUCUCUCUCUCUCUCUCUCUCUCUCUCUCUUCCUUGUAAAUAAAAUGAGGCAGAUCACAGUUCCAAUACCAAAGGACAAACUUGGAGCACCCAAUAAAAGAUAUCAAGUUAAUUUACUGCAAAACCCUUUUAUCAUGUACUUGGAGCCAAGCCUCUCAGUAUCCUCAGCCUUUUGCAUGAGGUGAUAAACAUCCUACAAACACAAGAAGAAAUGUGUGAGCAAUUGAUAUAUAACCCAUAUAAAACAAAAACAAUAUAAAGCAAUACACAAACGCGCCAAAGGAAUACAAGUAUACUUACUCCCACGGAACAUCUCCAACCAACAUCAAGUCCCCAUCUUUAUCUUCAUAUGUGACAGCAUAUUCACGAGCAUCCACCCUUACACUCUCACCUGCAUACGUAAAUGAUUAAGAUAAAGAAGAAUAUCAAGAAGAGUACAAUAUACCAGUAUAUGCAUGUCAUGUUCUAUAUUUCAAAAUGUGUCACUACUCCUACCUGAAGGGAAACAUUUGAACAUGUCCUCUAAGGCCUCUCUGAGCUCCUUGUACCCUUUGUAGGCCUCGAGAUCAAUCUUCCUCAGAAUAGGAGCCCCAUCCAUGCUCACUUUUACGUAAGUUCCCGCCUUCUCUUCGUCCCGCUUCAUCGAUCGGAACGUAUUCCUCCUAUACGAUCGGAUCGGCGGCCAUCCAACUACUUGGGUCCUAUAACAUAUGCAGUCAUGCAUUCAAAAGCUAACAUGUUUAGCACUCCAAAACUUUUCUUACAACUUCAUGUAUGAUCAAGUUGUUGGUUAAAGAAACUCACUUUGCUUCGCGAUCAAAGUCGUUCGAUUCAAUCUCGGUCGCAGUCCUCUUCGUUCCGCCCUCCUUGCUACCCGUAGGAAGCACUUUAGUCGCUGUCUCCCUCUCUCGGGUCCCCGGCAACCCUAACCUGAGCUCCGUCGCUGCAAAGUUCUCGCCGUCGCCGAACCGCAGAGCUGCUUCCUUUUCCAUGUUCUUGGUCAUCAGGGUUGAAGAAAUUUGUUAGGCUAGAGAGGGCUAGAUGUGCACAACUGAGUAGUCUAGGAAGUUGAUGUGAGCUGUUUAAUAUGCUUCAUGGUCUUAUAAAGAAGGUGAGGGGGUGAAGGAAAUAAAGGAAGUUUCUUAAGGGCACCUUUUCUAAUUUUUUUAAGUCAUUUUAAAUUUUUUUUUUAAUAAAUGGGGAUUAUUAUUGGGUAGGCAUUGACAGGUUGGACAGAGGGGGAGUUAGGGGGCAUAAUUGAAUACACUGCUGGUCUACAGCAUAACAGGCCCGGCCUAAUGUUUGGUUGAAUGCAGAUGCUACACGUUCGAUUUGACGGAUAGAUUCGAUGCCAAAUGGUCCGAGAAGGUUUUUGGCCAUUGGAUCGCAGGAGUGGGAGAAACAGUGCAUGUGGGUGGGCCCUGGGCCCAUGGGCCUUCUAAAUUGGGGUGGAAAGCUAAGAUCCUUUAUUAAUUAGGUUGAUGAUUUAAUUAGUGGUGGUGUAUAAGGGAGCACAUGAUAUGUUGAACUAGCUUUUAUAUGUUUGAUUGAUAAUCUACUUAAAAAGGACUGGUCUAGAAAUCUAUAGCGUGUUUUGUGUGGGAGUGAUGCUGAGACUGUGGAUCAUUUAUUUGUAUGAUGCAUAUUCAACAAAUUUUUGAUGUUUAGUUUACUUAACGGUAGACAUAUCUCGAGAUCUAUAGUAGAGGUCAGAGGUGUCUAAAAAUUUCUAGCUGAGAACCGCUCACAAAGGGUAUCAACAAAAGAUCUAACUAAGGUCACAAUCUGUCACAAUCUGUUGGUGGAUGAUCCGGCGGGAAAGAAAUAAUGUGAUUUUUAGAAAUCAAUCUACAGAUCCCCUAAACGAGCUCGAGACUUGGAAAGAGAGUGGACUGAGUUUUGCAGCUCUAAGUGAACCCCUAUUUAGUUUUACUUUUUUUUAAUUUUAUUUUCUUUGUUUUAUUUUAUUUUUCUAAAUUUUCUUUUUUAUCAUUUAUUUUUAUAUUAUUUUUAUUUUUUGGCAUGGUGGCCUGUAUUUUAUUCGAGGGCAAGUUGCCCCAACUUUUGUAGCUGAAUUUAUUUUUUAUAUGAAUGAAACGGGUAGCAUGUUAUUUUUUUCUUAAAAAAAACACACAUUCCACUUUGGUAUAAGUUGAUUAAUUAAAGGUUAUACAAAAAAUUGGAAAGAGUAGAGUCCAUCUUGGGUACAUCUGAAAGCACAUUAAUAAUGCAUGUUAUUAUCUUUUUACUCUUUGGAUCCAAAAUACUACCAUCACCAAAUUGUAUUUUAGCCCCACUAGGAAAGGAUAUAUAAAUAUAUAUAUGGUUAUUUUAGAUAGGAUUAUUUUGUUUUGUUUUGGUUAAUUAUGUUCGUUAUCAGUGAGACUAAUCUAAUCUUAUUUUAGAAAACAAUUUAUAAACUGAUUGUGUGGUCUCCUGUAACAUCGAAAAUGCUAAUCAACUUUGAAUUCGAAAGGCAAUAUAUCUAUAUGUAUGUUAAACAAGCAACAUAGUUAUUGUCCAACUAUUGUGACGGGGGAUAAUGAAUUAAUGAUACUCCAACUAUACACGGGACUUAGAUCCUACUCCCCAGUCCCCAUCCAUAGAUGAGUUGGAAAGAAUCCCCAUAUAGAGCUAGGCUGGUAUACUAUCGGUAGCACGGAGGUCUCCGUGCUCUGCAAGUUGUUUUCAAUGAUGCGGCUUCCAAAUCGACGAUCGGUUCCGUUAGACUUGAUCUACACUAAUAUUAGUGGUGCAUUUAGAUUCGAGUUGAAUAUUAUUUUGCAGUUGAAACAACAUAUUGGUGUUACUCAGACACAUCAGAUAAUUUUUUUUUCCCCAUCUGUAGAUACUACACAAUUACAUAAUUUUGGUGCCAUGUACGUACAGCCCAUUCAACAAAGAAUAGGUAGAAUAUUUAUUGAUGCAAGAUAUGGAUGGAUGCCUCCAAUUAUUAAGACCUAUAAGAAAUACAUGCAAUAACCGUGAGUCGCAUAAUUGAAGUAGGGUCGGGAGACAAAAGUGGACCCUUUCUCCCUUCAUGCAUGAUGCAUCACUUCUUGAGUCGUAAUAGCUAAGCUUCACUUGUUUGUUCCACAUUAAACUAUUCAAAAAAGUUGAGAAAAAACUUAAAAGUUUUUUGUGGAAAGAAAAAUUCACAUUCGUUGCUGUUUGAUUUGGCAUUACAAAAUGAUCAUAUAUAUACAAAAGUGAGCAUAUAUUAUAAUACUAUUCAUUGACAGACAAUGUUGAGUUUUUUUUUUUUUGAGAGAAAGAUAGGUAGCACGCUAUCCGCUUUCGUUUAUUUUAUUUAGAAAUAAACUUAGCUGAAAAUGUGAAUCAAUUAGGAUUCGAACUUGGAUCUUGGGUACCAACCACCAAGUCCUUUGCCACUUACUCUAUAGACGGCCGGUGACAAUGUUGAGUUAUUAAUGAGUGAUCAGAAAUAAUCGAACAAAUUAAGGUGACAACCUUUUCUUGAAUUGUAAACACAAGAACACGACAACCCAACUCAAUGGAUCGAAGUUUUGCUCCAGCUCAUUUGAAGAGACGCAGAUAUAUAUUGGACAAAUUAAAAUGUUAGGCAAGCAUAUAUAAGUAAUUAAGGCUCCCAUCAAUCCAUUGAAUUUAUCCAUCUUUUUCUAUGCCAGAUAGAGGACAAAAUUAAGCACGAUUGUGAACUUGUAGUUGGAUAUAUGUUCCCUUUCCUCUCCUAUUAGAGAAAGCCAUUAAUUUUCCAUCACACCAUCAUGCAUGUGUACGUGCUUGAGAUGCAUGUAUGUGUCCUUUAAAAUUGGUGUGUGCGCACAGGGACCCCGCACGUGUGCCUUACGGACAAUAUUGUAGGGCUUUGUAGCAAUUAAUGUCACUCUUCAGGAAGGGAAACACUGAUGUAGAAGGAAGGGUAAAUUGCAUUACCAGGUUUUGAUUUUAUCCUAAAACCUUUCUUUUUGAGAUACAUUCCAAAAAUAAAUUUUAUUACAGAUGUUGAGGUAACGAGGCCUAGAGUGAGUCAAACAGUUACAAAAGUAAAGAAAGAACUAAAGCAAAAAAGAAAAAUAAAUAAAUAAAGAGGUUAUAUUCCGAGGCGUAAAAAAUAUGCCAUCUAGAGCUGUAAAAUUCAGCUCAUUCUUUUAUCAUUAUUCUCAAACCUUUAAGUUUCGCAACUAUCACUCUAAAUCUUUUUCGAGUAUUUACAGGUUUACGUUUGUUUUCUCAAAAAGACAUAACAAAUUAUUUUUAUAGAAAAAAACUUCUAUAAAAAAAUAUUCUUUUUUCAUUAAUUUUUAUUUUUUGUGUGGAAAAUUUGGAAAAUAAAAACACUACUUGUGCCUAAUUAUGUAACCAUCAAGGACCUUAUACGGACCAUGUAUAUCAUAGUAAGGUCAAGCCAACCUGAUUUGACUUGAUGCAUUUGCACACCAGUCCAAUUUGUAGAGAAAUUGCUUUUGGUCCGGUACUCUCAUUUAUGAAAAAUGUUAGCGGUACAUUUCUGAUAAGAGAUGUAUGUCUUACACGCUGUGUUCUUUUUUUUUUUUUUUUUUUUUUUUUUUUUUUUUUUUUUUAAGAGAUAGGUAGCACGCUAUCCGUUUCGUUUAUUUCAUUUAGAAAUAAACUUAGCUGGAAAUGUGAAUCAAUUUGAAUUCGAACUUGGAUCUCGGGUACUAACUAUCAAGCCCUUUUGCCACUUACUCUAGGGACGGUCGGUCGCUGUGUUCCAUAUUGAGGCAUCUCUUUUGAGAUUUAAGGUUUUUUUAAAAAAAGUAACAAGAGAAAUAGAAAAAAUAAAGGUCCCAAAAAGUCUAUAGGUGUAUGAUUUACACUAUAAAAAGAAGGGUGAAUUAAUGAGUAAGAGCAUAUUAAAUAAGAUUCUGCAUGUGCGCGAAAAAUUUUACAUGGAUUAUGAUCGCGCCGUGAGUGACAGGAUUAAUUGAUGGUGAUUGCUAAUGUAUCAUUUUGCAUCUGGAAACACAACAGCGUAAUACACACGACUCUCCCAGUUGCUCUGGAAUAUUCAUUAAUUUAAUUGUCACGUCGUUGUCAUGCAUAUACGUGUCUAUUUUAAUUGGUUGCAGAUGAGAAAAUCCACUGCUUGUAAUAAUGUCGAAUUUUCAACAAAUUAUGUAUUACGUUAUAUACACAUAUAAAUACAAUAUUAAAGAGAAUGGAGUUUGAAUGGACUACUAUCGGUAGUAAACUGCUCAGUUUACUAUCAAUUUGUUUUUUAUGAUAGAGCUUUCAAAUCGACGAUCGACACCGUUGAACAUGAUUUAGACCAUUUAAAUUAUCUAGAAAUCAAAUUUCAUGAUUUUUUGGUAUCACUAACUGAACGUUUAAAGAGUCACAAAAUCUAUAAUUUUAAUGGCCGAUAUGGUGCGUUUGCUCGUUUAACGGUAUAGAAGAGUUCAAAUCAACUAAUAUUUUGUUAAAAAAUUCUUUAAACUAUUUAAAAUAAGAUCUAAACUCUAGAUCUCAUAUAUAAAAAUUAUAUCAUCACUUUUUGAAGGAUAUUCAUUUCCAGCCAUUCAUUUUUCUGCUCACUUGAUGGACAAGAGAACAAUAUCGAAAAUGUGUGAAAUUUGAUUUCCAGAUAGCUUAAAUAGUUUAGAUCAUAUUUAACGAUACUGAUCAUCAAUUUGGAAGCUCUAUCAUCGAAAACAAAUCGGUAGUAAAUCGAACCGUUUACUACCGAUAAUAUUCUAGCAAAACUCAAUAGAAUGACAUAUAUAUUUUUUUUGGAACAUUCUUGUAGAAUAAGAAAACCAAAACUUUACUAUUAAGAAAACGACAAUUCUCCGUGGACCAAUCGUGGCAAAAGCGCCUUGCUGUAGUGUGCAUUCAUAUAUAGACUUCUACGCACCAGUUAGACUAUCACUAGGAAAUUAAUUUUUCUCAAAAAAAAAAAAAGGAAAUUAAUCCACCCACAUCAUCUAAUAGAUUACUUAAUUAACUUUAAUAAGGAUAAUAAUAAUAAUAAUAAUACUUAUCCGAAUGUAAUUAUUUUAUAUUCUUAGCUAAGUAUAACUAAUCAACUUCAAACUUCCAAACUUUGAUUAGUCUAAUUAAUCAAAGUCCACAAAGGCUACAAGCUAGACUAUUACGUGGGACAAUUGAUCAAGUGCAUGUAUAAAUAGUACGCACAUCUCUCAUUCUCUUCUCACAACCAGAUCCAACAUCCACAGAGAUGAUUGUAAUUGGAAGAGAGAGUCUCCUUGCGGUGCUCCUGCUUUGCGCGGCCGCAGCGGCGGCGACCGCGCAAAGUGCUUCUAAUGUGCGGGCGACGUACAACAUCUACAAUCCGGCGGCCAACAACUGGGACUUGAUCGCCACCGGCGUCUACUGUGCCACGUGGGAUGCCAACAUGCCGCUCGCGUGGAGGAUGAAGUAUGACUGGACCGCCUUCUGUGGGCCGGUCGGGCCGACCGGCGAAGCUUCCUGUGGCCAAUGCCUUCUGGUAAGAAGUACUCCAUAAAAAAAAAUAAAUAAAUAAAAUUUGACACAUCAUUUUUUACCGUUGAGAGUAACAAUCACUAUAUUGUGCCAACCACGAAUAGCUCAAUUGAUUAAAGCAUUGUUGUAGAUUAGAUCGGAAGUUUGAGCCCUCUUUAAUUGUGCUUCUCUUUAGAAGGGUAUUAUCUCCCUAUUUACUUAAAACCGAAAAUGAUGAUGUAUCAUGGUUUUGAUUUGUUCAAAAAGGAUUAAUCUAUGGGCUAUUAGGUCAUGAGGAUUAGGUCAAAAAGAUGCAUUUGGAAUAGAUUUGGCUAAAAAAUCAGCAGUAAUUUGAUUGAUAAAAUGAAUAAUAUAAUAGUAAAAAUAUAUAAAUGUGUGACGAAAAUAAUAAAUUUUUUCAUUUAUUUUACCUAAUUUCCGGUAGGAGAAUUGAUAGGUACAACUAUGGUCACUAUUUGUUAAAUUAUAUAAUUCUAACUUUAUAAUCUGAUAUUUAAUCAAACAUUUGUUUGCAUCAUUCUGAUUCGUACGUACUCAUCAAAUUAACCUGAUGCAAUCUCAAUUACACUACCAUAUAUAAUACAGGUGACAAACACAGCAACAGGAGCACAAGCAACGGUCAGGAUCGUCGAUCAGUGCUCGAACGGAGGGCUGGAUUUAGAUCAGGGUGUUUUCGACCAGCUAGACACUAAUGGACAAGGCGUUGCCAACGGCUAUCUCAUCGUCGACUAUCAGUUUGUCGACUGCGGCGACUGAUAAAUGUUGACUUAUUAUUAUCCAUUACUAUUAAUAAUGCCAUGUAAUAAAAGGAUAUUACAAUGAAUAAGGUGUGAUCUAAAAGAAAUGCAAUAAAAGCUUUUCUAUGCGCAAUAAAUUAAGUUGAUUAAUUGAUAUUGUCAAAAAAAAAAAAUUAUUAUUAUUUUCGGCCAUUAUUCACAGGCUAAUUUGAUAUGAUCACCGACCGUCCUUAGAGCAAGUGGUAAAAGAGUUGGUGGUUGGUAUCUGAGGUCCCAAGUUCGAAUCUUAGUUGACUCAUCUUUCCAGUUAAGUUUAUUUCUAAAUAAAAUAAACGAAGCGGGCAGCGUGCUAUCUAUCUCUCAAAAAAAGAAAAAAAUUGAUUAUGAUUGACAGACCAAAAUUUUUCUUAUGUGAAGGAAUUAAUAAAGUUCAUAGCAUGUUAAUUUGCAGGGGUCUACAAUAAACAACAAGAUGGUUAACCACUCAAUCUUAUCUAUUAAAACGAGAUAAAUGGCCCUGAUUAACUACGAAAGUUUCUAAUAUAAAAGUAAAGUUGACUUUGAAUGAUUAUUAUUCACUUAUUGAAUUUUCUUUUGUAUAAAUAAAAAAUAUUGUAGCUUGUAAAGAUUUGAGCUUUCUAGCAUAGAUAACUUAGAUUUUAGUUUUUCAGUCAAAUGGUUUCGACCUAACAGAUUAUUCGUAUAGUGGACGAAUAAUAUCCCAAUUACAUUUCAAACUUGAAAAGGCUUCCUUUGUAAUUUUCUAUAUGUAAACCUUUGGGGUACAUUGCUUAUCCAAUCCUUCAAAUUAACAUUCUCUCUUAACCAGUGGCGGCCAUGUGGUGGAUAAUCUGGCAUGAAAAAAAUAAUAUUAUUUUUCGAAACUUAUCUCUAAACGCUAUUUCUAUUGUCCACCGUAUUGAAGUACUUGUGAAAGAUUAGGCCUCUUGUUGUAAAGUCGGAUGAUGUCAGUAUUUGUUGCACCCUUCAUUCUGACGGCUGUUUUUGUCUUUAUCGUAAAUUGUUUCUUCUACUUCCCAUUGACAUUUUGCCGCCUUGAGGUCUUUGCUAUUUCACUAUUUAUAGCUAAAUUCAAUUACUUAAUGAAUAAGUUAUCUUAUCUUUUUCUCAAAAAAAUCACAUUCUCUAUUAACUGGCUUAACUUGUUCUAUGGUUACUGUAUAUUCCUUCGUUACACUCGAACUGAACAUACAAGGCAACGGCAACUUGUACUUAGCUAGCGUACUUAAUUUUUGCCUUGUUUGUACAUCGAAUUUAAAAUAUAUAAUGACGCCAUUUAAUUAAGUAUAAUUCUUAUGCUACGUACGAUUAGAUUUUUAAACGUUUGCACAGUUGCAGUUUUGUAUUGCCAAAGUACGUGUGUGCCUCUAUUUUAUUUUAAAUCAAAGCAACAAAUAAAACAUUUUUAUGCCGGAUUUUGUCGCGUUAGUGAGCAUAAUCCCACCUAGAAGCCGCAUAUACCGUUAAUCCUUGAUAAUUACUUGUAUAAAUAGCAUUAAUCUCCUAUGUUUAUGCAACCACACAAAUUGAGAAAUUACUGUUACAUAAGCUAUGACAAUGAGUGUUGGUACGAGGAGCUUGUCCACGGCUUUGCUGCUUUUCGCUGCGGCGGCGGUGGCCGCAACCGCGCAGCAGGCGUUUGACGUGCAGGCAACGUUCAACUACUACUACCCGGCGCAGAACAAUUGGGACCUGACGGCCGUCAGUGCGUUCUGCGCCACGUGGGAUGCCAGCAUGCCUCUGUCGUGGCGAGAGAAGUACGGCUGGACCUCGUUCUGCGGUCCCGUCGGCCCCACCGGCGAAGCCGCAUGCGGCUUGUGCCUCUUGGUAAAAUGGCUUUCUCCUAUUUGGUCUUGUAUAUAAUCCAAUGAUUUGAUUGGAAAAAAUAAACCAGUAGGUCAACCACUGUCUAGAAAAAGUUCAAUUUAGUUUCUUAAUAUUCACUGAAUUGCAACUUCUGAGAAUGCAGAUUUGAUUGAACUCAUGUCAGAUUAGAUCAAACUGAGCCUACGGAGUCUGUCGUAAAAUGUGCAGGUGACAAACACCGCAACCGGGGCGCAGUUGACGGUGAGGAUCAUGGACCAGUGUUCGAACGGAGGGCUCGAUUUGGAUCAGGGUGUGUUCGCUCAGCUGGACACUGAUGGGAGUGGCUAUGCCAAUGGCUUUCUAACUGUCAACUACGAGUUCGCGGACUGCGGCGAUUCCUGAUUGUUUGAUUUCGCUGAAGAAUUUCUGCUGAUUAUUUAAUUCUGCAUUGUGAUUCAUUCCUAUUAGAUUGAUGAUGAUGAUUGUUAUUAUUAUUUUCAUUCAAAUCGAACCUAAUUAAGCUAAAUGCUAUCAAAUGUUUUUAUAAAUUUUGACUAAGAGGUUGAAUAACAAAAAGUUCAACAACAAGGAGCAAAUUUCUUGGUCAGAAACAAGGGGAAGCGCCUCUGAUGAACCCCUUCUGCUACACAAACAUGACGAAGAGAUAAAUUUAAACUCUUAAACAUCAACUCUUUAUUUCAAAACAAAUCACCAAUAAUCAAACAAAAACCAAUUCUAAACAUCUUGUGACAAAUCUAGUGAGGAAAUUAAGAACAUGAAUAGGAUGAAAAGUAGGCUUGAAGGAUAUUGGUGAGGAUAGGGAACACAAUUGUAGCUAGCACCUAUGAAGUUGAUGACACAUGGAUUGCAAAAAUAUUCGUGCACGCCUUGGGCAUGAUCUGUAUCCCCUUCAGAAUAACAAUACCUAGUCAAAUCUAUAAAGAAUCCUCUAAGAUAAUUCUCCUCCAAUUUGUACAAUUUGGUUACACAGUUGGUCGAAGAAGUGGUCCUCUUAGUGAUGAUAACUCCGUUAAAAUGCAGCAGUUUUGUGUCAGAUUAGAGUGAUUUGUUAUUUUCCUUUAUCUUCCGGUGUAGUUUAAUUAUACUUUAAAAAAUAGUACUCUUUUGCGUCUUCUCAAUAUUUUAUUAAAUAGGUUUUUUACGAGUAUAGCACAGUUUCCUUAUAAACUGGGCCUGAUCGUACAGAUAGGGUGAGGCGCUAGUUAGCAAUAUGGCACAGGGUUCACAGGUGACGUGGUGAACCGGGUCUGGUCCAUGACAUCCGAUUAAGGCCUUAGGAAGAAGCCGGCCCAAUAUGGCCCACUAGAAUUCGGGCUGUACUGUUUGGCAUUUGGGCUGGGCCUUUUCUCCUAAUGUGUUUUUAAAAAUUAAGUCAUGCGUUUGUUGUUUAGAACUUCUAUUUCACUAUCUAGAAGCAAUUAGAGUACAUAACUUUUGAUUAAUUAUUUGCUUAAUUUAUUUCUACUCUUUAUUAUAGUGCUAGAUAAUUGAUCCACAAAAUACAAAUUUUUUUUUUGAGAGAAAAAUAGCACGAUAUCAGCUUCAUUCAUUAGGAAAAUGAAUUUAGCUAUAUAGAGUGGGACAGCUAAAGCCUCAAAACCAUUGAAAAAUCAAAAAGAAAAGAAUAGAAAAGAGCAAAAAAGAAAGCUAAAAAGAAAAACUGAAAAAAAAAGAAAAAGAAUGUAAGCAAAAAAAUAGAUGGUAAGAACAAAAAGUAUAACAAAUGUCUACGUCAUCCUGCUCUACAAGACUCGGCCCACAUGAAAUCGACCCGGAACAACACCUGUACCAAUUGAAAAAUAUAAAAAUCUUGUGUUAUUUUCUAGAUGAUGGAAGAUGCUCCACAUGAAAUCGACCCAGAACAACACCCGUACCAAAUCGUUACGGCUCGAGUCCUUAAUUAUCAACAAUAAUUAUAAGUUUUAUUAACGGAUUAAUAAUUAUUUUAUGAAUGUGAGUACUUGAUCACUAGAAAAGCUCCUCCCCAGCUCGCCCCAUUUGUUAAGUUCUCACGUACCAAAUUCUUUGUACAGUGUCUAUUCUCCUUGGUCAACUAAAAUGUAUAAAAGAAAAUUAUUAGUUUAUUAAUUAAUUAUAAGAAAAUGUUUACGGAAUAAAUAAUAUAUAUUUAUUUUUGGAGGCGUGCACACUUACAUAAGCUUCGCAUGUUCUUAAUUUGAAUGAGGUAAUCACUUAGAUCAUGGAGUCUUUUGACUGGGUUUUAGGACAAUUUUGCCUCGUAUUUUAAACAAUCUUCGCAUGUUCUUCUCUGACAUCUAACACUGUGUAAAUUGUACUGAUAGUUUUUAAGCAUCCAACUAUAAUUUUUCUAGAGGUGACGCAAAUUAAAAUUUAGUACCUUUUACUUAUUUCUAUAAAUUGGUCCUUAAAACUUAUGUAAUUCUUUCGCAAUUGCUCAUCGAAACAUGUUUCUAAGUUUGCUAAGAGACGGGCAAGUAGAACUAGUACACGAACUAAAUUUUCAUGGAUAAUCUAUUGUUAGGAAAAAAAAGUUAGGAACUACAUAUGUAAAAAUCAUGAAGUAUAUAUAUAUAUAUAUAUAUAUAUAUAUAUCAAAGUUUAGGAAAUAAUCAUAUUGUUAGAUUUUUUUGGAUUUAUAGUAUUUGUAUAGCAAAAUACGCAUUAUACUUGAAGGAGGAGAUAAUUGUGGCGUAGGAGAAUAAUAAUAACAUAUAUAAAGAAGUGCAGAAAAUAUACUUCAAAAAUAAGAUAAAGCAAUUAAAUUUUAAACAAAGAAUCUCGAAUGUUAACUAUUGAACUGAUUCGUCAGUAUAAUAUUUUAAUACUUUUGAAAAAAGAAAAAGAAAAGGUGAGGCCUGUUUUUGUAAAAAUAAGAUUGUAAAAUAAUUGGAUUAUAUAUCAACUAAAACAGAACAAAACAAUUAUGGCGACGUUGCGGAGAAUUAUCCGCUCUCAAUAAAUACAAAACAAUUUUGGGACAAUUUUGGGACAAGUGUGAAUCCUGCCACGGCGCGUUCGAGCUGCAGAUGUCGCCUGCCCGUGAUAACAACCGAAUAACAGCAACUCGUGAAAAAGAGAGAACAGCAACAGCGCUACUGCAUUGCGCCACCGAACCGGAAUAAGUACCCGGAAUAGAAACUCCCUUCGCAAUCACGCCACCCAACCGGAAUAAGUACCCGAAUAACACGACCCCGAUAAAUACGGAAACGGAGGGGACGGACCAAAGAACGAAUUCGAUUCCCCCCGCCAUUAACGAGAUUCUUCGAAGGAAACCGAACCCCCCGGUUUGUAGCGAAGAGGAAAGGAGCUCGGAGGCGACGAUUCUGCUGCUGCUGCUUCUUCCUCGGCACUGGCGAUGUGAUCGCCGGGGAGAAGAACGCUCGGAGCUCCGGCGAAGGGGAGGGGAAUCGGGAGAUGUGAGCUCCGGGGGGCGGCGGCGGGGGCGGUGGAGAUGGCGCAGGGGUCGAUGAAGAAGAAGGCGGGGGCGGGGGCGGCGAGGAGCUGGAUCCUGUUGGAUGCGAAUGGNGAGAUGGCGCGGGAAGCGGCGGCGGGGGCGGUGGAGAUGGCGCAGGGGUCGAUGAAGAAGAAGGCGGGGGCGGGGGCGGCGAGGAGCUGGAUCCUGUUGGAUGCGAAUGGGGAGGGGACGAUUAUGGACGUGGACAAGUACGCGAUCAUGCACAGGGUCGAGAUCCACGCGCGGGAUCUGAGGAUUUUGGAUCCCCUGUUGUCGUACCCUUCCACGAUCUUAGGGCGGGAGAGGGCGAUCGUUCUCAACCUCGAGGUGUUGCUGAUCUUCAACCCAGUUAUCAGUUGGUGUUCUUACUGGAUUGUGUUUAAUGGUGCUUAUUUUUGGGAUAGUAUUUGUUGCUAAUUUUGGUUUGCUCCUUUUUUUUUUAUUCCCCCUGUUUUCUGGUGCAGUAUAUUAAAGCGAUCAUCACUGCUGAUGAGGUACGAUUGAACUCACGCCGAUUUGACUGCUCUGCGAGUUUGAAUUUGAACUUCAAAUUUAGUGCUCAGAAACUUAGUUGUCCUGCUUGGAGCCUUUUUUGCUUGGCCGGAGCUAUCCGCACAAGUGAUGCUUGAGUAGAACUGUUCGAUUUGGUGAAAUAUUCUUAGCUUUUUAGUCGAUAAAGUUUUCUAUAAAGCUGUUUAUGCUGGAGAUAUGGAAGUUUCAAAUUAGAUCUUAUACCUCGUUUUAGUGCCCAAGGCACUUCAAAAGCUUUGGAAUUUUUAUUUGGAAAAGUUAGGCUUGUCUACCGAUCCAAUAACUGAAACAAAGAGAGGACUCGAAGAUUUUGUUAUUGAAACACUUCACGGUUUCUUUGAUUUUCCGAAUGAGUUGCAAGAUGAGUUCGUGGAUUGAGUGCUUUUCCUGGAUUAGGUGUUGCUUAGGGAUCCUACGGAUGAUAAUGUGAUCCCAAUAGUUGAGGAGCUUCGCAGGCGCUUACCUCCUGCUAGUGGUGCUCGCCAAGCACAAGGUGAAGGGAAGGAGCAACAUGAUGUAGAAGCUGCUGAGGAGGAUGGUAGGUUGUCCAUACUUUCACUUUGUUUUGCUCAAUGUGGUAAUUAGGCCUUUCUAGAACCUAAGUUAGGAGAAGAUACUAGUGUUAUGAGGCAGUUACUAAUUCUGUGCGGUUGCUGUCGAAAAGUCCUAAGUUUGCUUUUUAAAAUUUCUGUAUAUGUAUAUACCUAUGGAAUGUUCUUUUUUCUCUUUUUCCUUCGGUUUUGUUUCGGCUUCUUUAAAAGUUCCUCAUUUUAAAAGUUCUGUGAGCCAAAUUCUGUUAGAAUGAACAAAUAAGCUAAAAAUGUUGGCUUUAAAUAAGAGCUUUUUUACUUUCAACUUCCUCUUUCAUUGCCAAUGACACAUUCCUUUCUUUUUCAUUUUUUUUUCUCCCCAUCUAAUGAGAAUGAAAUCCUUCAGUUGCUUAGGUGCCUUAAUCUGGGUUGGCCUUUACUUUUAUAUCUUUGGAAGACUUCUACAUUUUUGCCUUAGGUUCUCAUUUUAUACAAUGCAGAAUCUCCAUUCGAGUUUCGUGCUCUAGAGGUUGCUUUAGAAGCAAUCUGCAGCUUCCUUGAUGCACGUACCACGGAGCUGGAGACUGCUGCCUACCCUGCAUUGGAUGAGCUAACUUCCAAGGUGAGUAAAUAUUCUCUCGCUGUUGUUCUUUUUUCUUGCAUAUCAAACAGCUAUUUUCUAUAAAUUUGUGAGGGCUUGCUUUUCAUUCUUAAUCUUAUAUUACCUACUAUUAUUAAUGCAUAUGGUGUUAUUUCCUGCAGUUGUUACUUAUUACACCAUUGCAUUAUUAAUGCAGAUUAGUAGCCGUAACUUGGAUCGGGUUAGAAAGUUGAAGAGUGCAAUGACAAGGUUGACUGCUCGGGUCCAGAAGGUGUGUUUUCCCCUACUAAAUUUCCGACUACUUUUGAUUUUAUUUGUCAAACGAAUGUAGACAUUUCCUCCGCAAAUAGACAAAAAAAAAAAAAAAAAAUUCUUUAUGUGUUUCCAGUAAGGUUGUCUAGAGUUGUGUGCUCUACAGGUUAAUGCAAAGAAGAAUUUGAUGGUUGUACUACUUUCUUUGUCCCUUGCAAUUUCAUCAUAUAAGCAGAGCUAAAUUAAUGCAGCAGGAAAGCAACUUGAUGUCCACGACCUGAUGUACUAAUAUUUGUCUAAGAAAACUACACCACUAAAUUUCAUUUUACGGUAUACCCUGUCUGGUUUAAAUGUCUUGGUUUCUGUCUUUUGUUGCCUCAUCAAGUAUACUAUCCUCACUAGGUAAGAGAUGAGCUUGAACAAUUACUGGAUGAUGAUGACGACAUGGCAGAUCUUUACUUGUCAAGAAAGAUGGCCGGGGCUGCUUCUCCUGUCAGCGGCUCUGCUGCAUCCGGUUGGUACCCUGCCUCACCUACAAUAGCCUCAAAGAUAUCUCGGGCAAGCAGGGCAAGUGCAGUAACAUUACAUGGAAAUGAGAAUGAUGUCGAGGAGUUGGAAAUGUUACUUGAGGUUUACAAAAGAGCACAUCUUUGUUCAUUACUUUGUACAAUAUCAAAAUAAAGAUUGAAUAGAGAAGAAUACCAUUCUUUCUUUUAUAUGCAAAUCUAAAAAUAUCAUUGUAUCUCUGCAGGCGUACUUCAUGCAGAUUGAUGGAACAUUGAACAAAUUGACCACUGUAAGUCAGAAACUAAUAUCAAAUUAAGUAUUCCUUGAGCUAUUAACUACUUUCAUUGCAUGUUCUAGUGAGCUGAUUAAUAUGGUUAAUCGGGAUCAAGCAUCAGAUGGGAUCAUCUAACCUAGAAAUGGAUUGGAUAAAUUAAGGCUAAAAUGAGCUUAUCAUCUCAUUUUGCUAAAGCGCAUAAUGCAUAAUGCAUUUGUCCACAGGCAACACUUCUAUGUUCACAAAAUGGGUCUCAGAGCAUUUGCUACAUGGACAAAAUUGAAAAAAUGCAAUCCACUUAAUUGAAGCGCGAUCUUUCUGCAUUAUGAGCUUUUUCAUGUUGUCUUUAAGGUCUCUUAUUCAAAAACUUCAACCUAGAUAACUUACAUAUAAGUUUUUCUUCAAUCACUUUCCAGCUGCGUGAGUAUAUUGAUGACACAGAAGACUACAUCAAUAUUCAGGUCUCACUUUGUCUUGCUCUUAUAUGAUGUUCUUGUCUAGAAUACAUGUUGAUACUAAACCAACUUGAUAAUUUGCCUAUGCAGCUCGACAACCAUCGAAAUCAAUUGAUUCAGGUGACAGUCCAUCGGCAGUUGGUUUUGUCCAUCAGCAGUUUUAGAAAUUGUUUACUCUACCGACUGGGGCUUAGCCCAGCAGUAGGAGAGGGAUUUUUUUUAAAAGAAAUGUUAGUUGACGAGUGGUUUUUGGUCUUAAAUUUUGUUUUGUUCUUGUUAUGGCAGUUGGAGCUAUUCUUAAGUUCAGGAACUGUAACCCUCUCUUUGUACUCAUUGGUUGCCGGCAUAUUUGGGAUGAAUUUACCCUACUCGUGGAAUCAAAACCAUGCAUACGUCUACAAAUGGGUAGGUCUUUACUUAUCAGUCAACACAAGCAUGUUUGGCAGCACUUGUGUUCAUUUUUUGGCUUACUUUUUCAUUCUUUUUUAAUUGAUUAACAGGUGGUCCUCGUCGGUGGACUUGGUUGCGCCCUUUUCUUUGUCUUGAUUAUUGCCUAUGCUCGCUACAAAGGCCUCGUCGGGUCUUGAUUGCCCACAGAGCCGUACCCAAUUUUACGGCAGAACAGUUUCAUAUUAUCAUUGAAAAGAUUAAAUCACCUCCUACCUGCUUCAGAAGAACAUGCUCUUCUUGUGGUUAUGUUUUCAUUGAUCAUCAUUCGGAUGUACACUUUUCCUCUGUAGUCUCCUACAAGUUGUUCGCGGCUUCAUCCAGUUAACAGAUUCAAGUUGGGGACAACGCAUUCAUCUCAUUCCCAUUAGCUAUUCGAUACUGACAAUUUUGGUAUGAAAGUCGAUGUUGAGCAGUAAGAGGGAAAAAUGUUGUAUCAGUUCAUUCAUGAUUGGUCGAUUUGUAAGGUUUUUUCAUGGUAAUAAAAAUGGGAACAGGGUCGUAGUAGCUCAUAUAAACUUAGUGUAAUCUAAGACAUUAUAUAUUUAUAGAAUUUGGAUGGAAUACUAUUAAUAACAUCAAGUCAUUGAUGCAAUUAAGUUUUGAGUACUUGGAUGAAAAAAUGUGCGGUUAAGAUGUUAAUGGUUAUCGAUACAAUUCUAGCCGGACUCUCUCUCUCUCUCUAUAUAUAUAUAUAGUCCCUCUUUUGGGGUUUAUAUUAUUCAUUUGUUUGUGGUGUGUGAUUAUGUCGCAGUUUUGGUCUUGUUUGAUAGAAUCUAACUGUGGGCAACAGAGCCUACUGUCACAGACUUAGCGUUUUCGUUCGCAAAGCCCGUGCGGCGCCCACCUUUCCUGCUCGAAGAUGGACAAGCCUUUGUCCCUAUUGCUAGCCCGGACCUUCGCGUCCUACGACUAAGUAUGCAAAGGGAAAUGACAAAGAGAAAGAGGCAGAGGUUCUCUCAAAAAAACUAAGUACUACACUACUUAGAAAUGAGAAUUACAACCUACAAACAGCAUACAAACACACUCUCUCUUGUGUGUCAUGGCCUUAGCCAACCCCACUAUUUAUAGGCCCAAAGGUGCCUUUUCAACUCACCCACUACCACAUAACUCACCCAUUAUUACAUACAUAAUGAGCCUACAUAAUGAUCCCUCAUAAAUGCCAAAAGCUCAAGAGUCACCCAUAACUCCCAUGAGUUUCAUGACCCUUGAGUUUCCCACAGCGGGUUGGGUUUGUGUCUACUUGCCAACCCGAUUCGACCCGUCUUCAACCCGAACUCGCUAAGCAGAUUUGGGCUAGGGACCGGGCUGCAUAGGAAUUUUUCUAAGUCCCUGACACCCUCCUCCACCUAAUGCGCAGGCGUCCUCGUCGCGCGCUGCUUCUGGAACUCGUCGAUGAGCGCUUGGUACUGCCAAAGUGUGUCCGCCUUCUCCCAACUCGCCUCGCCAAACGGGAGAUUCUUCCACUUCACCAAGUACUCAGGAUUCGGCACGACCCCACGUCGCCGAAUGAGUCGAGUGUCCAGGAUGGACUCCGCUUCUUUGUCGAACGAAGUCACCAUGGUCGGAGGCGCUCGCUGCGACACUCCUCUGCUCGGAUCCUCCGCAUCCUCGUUGUACAGCUUCAACCUGCUGACAUGAAAAACAGGGUGGAUCCUGAGGUUUGCGGGCAGCUGCAGCUUGUAGGCCCCCUUGCCCACACGCUUGACGACGGUAUAUGGGCCUUCGUACUUGCGCAGCAGUCCCUUGUGCACCUUCCGCAAGGCUUUGAACUGCUGCGGAUGAAGCUUGACCAUCACGCAGUCCCCCUCGGCAAACUCCCGAGGCUGUCGCUUUUCGUCAGCCCACUUCUUCAUCCGUCGUGCUGCUUUCUCCAAGUUCGCCCUUGCAAUUUCACCCUUUUCCUGCAAGUUAGUGGUAAACUGAAGAGCAACAGGGCUGCGGAACUGCUCUCCCGCAGCAGCCGUGUGAGGGGCAAGUGGUUGUCGCCCGAUCGCCAACUCGAAAGGGCUGCAGCCGGUAGACUCGCUGCGCCGCAAAUUGUAAGCAAACUGGGCGACAUCGAGAUGAUGCACCCAAUCUUUCUGAUUGGCACUCACAUAGUGCCGCAAAUACUCCUCCAACAGAGCGUUCACCCGCUUAGUUUGCCCGUCGGUCUGUGGAUGCCAACUGGUGGAGAAGAGCAACUCCGACCCCAAGAUUUUGAACACCUCGGUCCAAAACUUGCCAGUGAACCUGGGGUCGCGGUCGCUCACGAUGCUCGUGGGGAUCCCCCAAAGCUUGACGAUGUGGCUGACGAAGAGGCGUGCCGCUUCUUCAGCCGUGCAAUCGGUCGGCGCAGCAAUGAAGGUCCCGUACUUGGAAAAACGAUCAACCACCACCAGAAUGGACCCAAGCACCCCCACCUUUGGUAAGGCGGAGAUGAAGUCCAUCGAAAUGCUCUCCCACGGACGGCUAGGCACAGGUAAAGGCUCGAGGAGUCCGCCAGGUCGCUGGGCUCAACUUUUGUCUGUGACACACAAGCAGGUUCGCACGUAGCCUCCACGUCUUCGUGCAUCCGCGGCCAAAAGUAGGCGCCUCGACAACGCCAGGGUUCGCUUCUGACCUGGGUGCCGCCCACUUGGAGUCAUGGCACUCCUGAUAGCUCGCGGCGAAGGUUGCCCGCACUUGCGACGUACACCCGUCGCCCCUUGGUUGAGGAGCAGCCCGUCGCUCAUCCAAAAAUCUUCAGCGUUUUGCCCUCCUUGACAAGCCUGGCACGCAGAUUUUGAGCGAUAACGGUCCUCAUCUGGUUCCUGAACGAAGUCGAUCGCGGGCGUCCCUUGAAGCUGCCACAAUCGGCUGCAAGCUCAGCCUUGCGGCUGGAGAGCAUCAGCACGACGGUUUUCCUUUCCGGGCCUUAUAUUGGCAUCUCCAUGUCGAACUCCGCCAAGAAGUCCUGCCACCUGGUCGCCCUCGCCUGCUUAGGCGACAGCUUCUUUGCGAUUGGAAGUAGGCUCGUGGCAAACGUUGUCGGUGCGCACACACAAACUUGCUCCAAGCGCAAUAGUGCCGCCAGGUUUCGCAAGCAAUGCACGCACAGCGGUCAUUUCCUUCUCCUGGAUCGUGUAUCGCCGGCUCGUGUCGUUGAACUUGCGGCUCUCAUAGGCGACGGGGUGCCAUCCUGCACGAGGAAAACUCAAUGGCAAAAUCAGAGGCAUCAGUAUGUACUCAAAGGUGGCGACUGCAGUCGGGUAGUCGCAGCACUGGAUCCUCGUCACCGUCCGCUUUAGGUCCUCGAAUGCCUCCGCACAUUGAGAGUUCCAAACCCACGAGUGGUUUUUCUUCAGCAGAUCCGUCAACGAGGCUGCUCUCUGCAGAGUACCAGCAAUGAAUCGUGCGGUAGUAGUUGACGAGCCCAAGGAAAGACCGAAACUCGGACACCGGUCGUUGGGUCUCCCAUUUGCAGAUGGCUCGCACCUUCCGCUGGUCCAUGCGAAUCAGGCCCUGGCCUAUCCAGUGCCAAGGAAGUGCACCUCUUCCUUCGCGAAUAUGCACUUCUCCUUCUUGACGAACAGCUGGUUCUCCCGCAGCACUUGGAAGACGUUCGCAAGUGCUCGAUGUGUGCUCCUCCAAGGUGUUCUGUAUACCACGCAUGUCGUCGAGGUACACCACCACAAGCGAUCGAGAUAGGGGUGGAACAGCUUGUUCAUAAGUGUGCAGAAGGUCGCUGGCGCGCUUCGUCAAGCCGAACGGCAUGACAAGGACUCAUAGGCCCCGUACCCUCGUCACAACACGAGUGGUCUUCUCCUCGUCUCCUUCUGCAAUCCGCACUUGAUAUACCCAGAGCGAAGGUCGGUUUGGUGAAGUACUUUCGCUCCGCCCAAUUGUCGAAGAGAUCUGCAACCAGGAAUUGGGUAUUUGUUUUUGACCAUUACUUGUUGAGCGCUCUGUAAUCGAUACAAGCCGCAGGCUUCCGUCGCUCUUGCGCUGGAACACAAAACUGGUGCUCCAUAGGCUGCCUUUGACGGUCGAUAAGCCCGCAUCGAGAGCUCCUUCAACUGUUUUGCAGCUCCUCGAGCUCUGGCGGCCAUUCUAUAAUGGCGCUUUCGCGCGGUUUGGCCCUGGCUCGAGCUCAAAUGGCAUGAUCCACCUCCCGUCUAGGUGGAACUUGCUUCGGCAGUUCCUUUGGCAUGACAUCCUGGAAAUCUGCCAAGACCGCCCCAAUCUCUGCAGGAAGGCCCUGCCUCGUCGAGGCCCUCGUCGCUCAACUCGCGGAUCGCCGCAAGGUAAGUCAUCUCACCACGGUUCACACCCCUUCGCACUGCAAUGCAGAGAGGGUUGGGUGCCUUACCGUUUUCUCCAUGGCUUGCUAAGGACCGCAUGCAUGGGCCGCCGUCCCAUCCUGAUGCUCAAGGCCCAAGGUGUGGCAUCGGAACCGCCUUCGACGAAGCCAAAAAUCCAUACCUAGUAUGACUUGGAAGUCGUCGAUGGGUGGCAGCGGUGAAGUUUGCGGUGCUCUCCAAGGUCCCACACGCAAUGGCCGACCCUUGGCCACGCCCGCAACAGUUGCGGCCUCAGAGUUGACGGCUUUGAUCUGCUAAGAGUCUCUCCAAGGGGAAGGCCUAUCCGUUUGGCCUCCACUUCGGUCAGAACAAAGUUAUGAGUGGCUCCCGUGUCACCAAAUGCUCCGUGUGGCCCUCGUUAAAGGGUCACAUCGAUGUACAAAGCUCCUUGUUGAGGGCUCUGCUGCUUGCCAGCCCUGAACGCGUUGAAGAGCCUACGCGCCCAUCUUCGUCGUUCAGCACUGCCCUCGAGCCCUGCUCGGUCUGGACAGCAUCAGCUUCUUCUUGUUUGGCAGUCCCUUCGCCCAAUGGUUCUCGCCGCAGACUGUAGCACGUCAAUUUCUUGGCGCGGGCACAACUGGACCUCUCGCGGCCCCUGUCGGUCCUUCUGGUUCCGACGGUCUCUCCACCUUAAGCCUUGCUCGCUUUGCGUCUUGUCUGCGAGUUGCAAUCCGCACCGCUCGUACUCGGCCAGUUUUCCGCCAAGGCAUUUGCGGAGGCAACGUCUUGACGUCGCGUCCCACAAGCUCUUGUCUCCCAAGGUGUGGAUCCGUCAAGGAAGAAGAAUUAAGGCCGAUCAUUCCUCCGGCCAUGCUUGGUGAUGACAGCAUUGCAACUUGGAGUAUUCCUUGACAUACUCCUUUUGAGGCGUCCGUGUGUUUGAAGCCCGUGAAGUGCUUCCUCGCAAGGUAUCGACGUGCUCAGGGUAAGAACUGCGCCUUGAGCUCUGCGCACAAGAAUCUCCACGUCUUCAAUUUGCAUUGUGCCCCUUCUCGCUUCUGGCAGAACGCCGACGCACCAAGCAUCGCAGUCAUCAGCAAGGUACAUGGAUGCAGCCGGCCUUUCUCAUCUUCGCGUCCCCAGGGCCGCAAGCGCUGAAGUUAGCGGCUCCAUGUGCACGAGAAGUUGCGAUCCUCCUUCUCGGUCGCGGGUUCCCCUGAAUUUUUGAGCUUCGGAUAGUACCUUCGAAGCGUGACGUCAUCGUUGGGUCGUGCCACGCCAAUAGGGGAUACCCCGCUUUCCUCCAAGGAUCGUUACUCUUGUCUUGAGGUCCUCGUGACCUCUGUCGACGAUCAAGCAACAAGCUCCCCGAUGCAGAUUUCUUGUCGCUCCUCGUGCAUCGACUCUUCAUUGUUGGCGUUGAGGCUUUCAAGUUGCGCAUAUCGAAAUGUCUCCAUGGCAUAGCGACGCUUUACAUCCAUGUGUGGACAUCUUCGUUGAAAUGAGUUAAAAGGUAUCCGCCAUCUCGGUGUACUUUCACCGCAUUUCGCGAUUAACGUCCUCCACCAGCACUAAGGCGGUCCUCCAAAUGACCCGAUCGAUCCCUGCGUGAUCCGCUGAGGGUCUUUGCCUUGGCGGGUCGUUUGAGGGGCCUGCUGGAGGUCGCCCCCAACGUCGACGAUUCAGCGCAUUCGAUGACGACAUGGUUCUCGCUCGAAUCCGCUCUGAUGACCAACUGUCACGAUAGCGUUUUCGUUCGCAAAAGCCCGUGCGGCGCGCCCAACACUUUACUCUGCUCGAAGAUAGGACAAGCCUUUGUCCAUAUUGCUAGCCCGGACCUUCGCGUCCUACGACUAAGUAUGCAAAGGGAAAUUACAAAGAGAAACGAGGCAAGAGGUUCCUCAACUAAAGUACUACCUACUUAGAAAUGAGAAUUACAACCUCAAACACAAACAAAAACACACAUCUCCUCCUUGUGUGUCCAUGGCUUAGCCAACCCCAGCAAUUUAUAGACCAAAGGUCCUCUUCAACUCCCCACUACACAUAACCACGGCCAUUAUUACACCUACAUACACGAGCCUACAUAAUGACCGCUCAUAAAUCGCGAAAAGCUUCAAGAGUCACCCAUAAUCGCAUGAGUUUCAUGACCCUUGAGUUUCCCACAGCGGGUUGCGGUUUGGUCUACUUGGCCAACCCGUCGAACCCGUUACCCGAACGAUCGCUAAGCAGAUUUUGGGCCAGGUGACUCGGGCUGCAUAGGAAUUUCUCUAAGUUCCCUGACAUACGGAUAAAAACAAAUAAGCCCUGCGCAAGCUACGUAACAAUGUUUGGAUUGCCAAUGAAGAUACGAUGUUUGGGGCUGGCGGCUAGCGACGGAAACAAAUCUAAAGCCAGUGGUACGAAAAAAAAAAAAAAAAAAAAAACAAAGGAUAGGUUUAGGUUAUAAGAUUAAACCAGAGAGAUAGUUUUACUAAAUUUUGUUUUAAAACUUUAAGAGCAGUCUGUUUUGUUUUGUUUUGUUUUGUUUUGUUUGUUUUGCCUUGUAUUAUUUCUGAUGUCCUCAACCCUUGUGGCCUCAGUUGAGCAAGCCUCCAUGUCUAUUUCACUCCUGUACCUCAUCUUCAAAUAGGGUGAACCCCUGUUUAAUCAAAAAAAAUUUUAAGAGCAGUCAAAAGUUUCUCUUUCACCGCAGCAUUGUCUGCUUCUUUGGACAGAGCAAUUGCAGGUGGCCCAGCUCUACAAGAGCAUCGACCUCCGAGCUUACUUGGUUCCGCUUCUGUAAUAAUCGAAAUCUACAAUUUUUUUUUUAUUUUUAUUUAGGGAAAACUUCAAAAACCUCCCUUGUGUUUUCAAUUUUUUUCACUUUAGUACCCUAUGGUUUAAAAUGUAUCAAGUUAGUAUCUCUGUGAUUUCUCACUUUAUCACUUUAGUACUCUGUGAUUUAAAGUGUAUCAAGUUAGUAUCCCGUGGUUUUGCAUUUUAUCACUUUAGUACCAUGUGGUUUUAAUUUUGUAUCAAAUUAGUACCCUGUGGUUUUUUAAACUAUGGGGUAUUGAAACCACAGGGUACCAAAGUGAUAAAGUGAGAAACCACAAGGUACUAACUUGAUACACUUUAAACCAUAGGGUACUAAAAUAAAAAAAUGUGAAACCACGGGGGGAUUUUUGAAGUUUUUCCUUUUAUUUAUUAACUGUUCCUAACACAAAUGGUAAAGAAUUUGUUGGUUGGUAACGAGGUCUUUAAGUUCAAAGCUUAAUUAUUUUAUGUAGGCUUAGUAGCAAACCCACAAGAGUAAAGAGGGCAAAAAUUUUAUGGGCAUAGUCCCCUGCGGAUGGGCGCAUAGUUUGGGGACUACGCGGAUCGGCAUUGUGUGGCCCAUCCGACGGCUACGGAUGGAAAGAAAGAAAAAAAAAAAAAAAGCCUUGUGUUUUUAGAGAGAGAAAAAAUAACUGAGAAAGACAUCCGUCGGAUCGGUCACGUGGCGCCGAUCCGCGUAGUGACUAUGC
rnacentral:lncRNA from 1 species